CUUUAGUGGAUCGACUCUAUUACAUAAGUUAAUUUCUAAUUCUUAUCUCACAUUAUGAGAUAAGUACGCAGUUAUUAUUGUAUCGGCCCAAAACCUCGCUAAUUGAUCUUUACGGUGCUUCCUCUCUCUCUAUCAAUUAAAGCCUUAUAUCCAUAGAAAAAGUUGCUAGGCAUUUUUAUUUUUUCCUAUUUUGACUUCUAUGAAGUUUCUUUCUUUGCUACAGCUGAUAAAAAUCGUUGUUUUAGACGAUGCAUAUGUAGAAAGCCUAUUUGGUUCUAGUAGUUACUUUACUAGAUUUUUCUUUUUUUUCUUUCUAUAGUGGAGAUAGUCGCACGUAAUGACAGAUCACGGCCAUAUUAUUAAAAGCUUGUGGUAAGAAUGGGUUUCGUUCUAGUGCUCGAAAAUAAUAUUCCAAAGCUUUCGUAUGUUCUCCAUUACUUGUGUGGAUAAGCCCUAUAUUAUAGAGUAUAUAACUUCGAUCAUAGGGAUCAAUUUCUAGUCGCAUAGCUUCAUAAUAAUUCUGCAAAGCUUCCGCGUAAUUUUCUUCGGAUUGAGCCGACAUCCGUUACGGUCGUCAUUCAAUUGAAAGAAUCUCCGUUCCAGAACCGUACGUGAGAAUUUCACCUCAUAUGGCUCCUCCCUUAUGUGCAAAAUAGGAUGUUUUCCAUCUCAAGUCCGAGACAUGGUUCUAUCAACUAAUUAAUAUUUUAUUAAGUGAUUCGUCGCCAUCCAACCUAUUAGGAAUAUGUUGACUCACAAAAGAGUCUCACCUUUUAAUAGAUUAAAACGACAAAAUAAACCAUAUAGAUCAUAAUAAUUAUAUCAAGAUUAAGAGUAUAAGUACAUGUAAUGGACUAGAGAAAUCGUUUAUUAAUAUUCAAAACAUAAACGAACGUCUCUAAUUGGUCCGUUCAAUACAUACGAAAUGUACUAGUACAAGAAGUUGGAAUAUUAUCAUUCCCAUAACCAAGAUCAAAUUAUAUUUAAUCUUGUGCUACAAUCAUCAAGAUGUUUGUCCUACCUCAUCUUUGAUUGUGAACCAAAGGUGUCAAAUGGGCCGGCCCAUUUAGGAAACUAGCCCGGUUUGACCGGGCUCGGUUAGCCCCGAGGCAGUAGGGUACCGAGUUCUGAACUGGGCUAAUUUUAUUAUUGGGCCCGGUUAACCCGGCCCGGAGCAAAACCGGUCCAGGCACACUGGUUAACCUGUCCGGCUCGAAUUAUUAUUAUUUUUUUAAAAUGGAAUUUUUGACCGUUAGACCAAAGUAGUCGUUGGGCCCAACGUUUAUAUGGCCGUUUGGACACAAAAACGGCUAUUUUGGCCUUUUUAAUUAAAAAAAAAGUUUUUCCAUUUAAAAUAUUUUUUUAAAACCAAAAAUAAAUCCUAUAAAUACCCUACACUUUCAAAUUAUUUUUCAUACAAUUUUCAAUCUCUCAAAUCUCAUUCUCUCUCAAAUCUCAAUUCUCAAAUAUUCUAUAUAUUUCCUAAAGUUCUCAAUUUAAUUUUUUAAUUUUGCGAUUACAAAGUACGAGUGAAAGUUUCUAAGGUCGCAACUUUCAGAUACUUUUAAAAUUUGGUAUUGUCGUUCCAUCUCUUACUUUUAAUUUUUAAUUAGUGUAUUAAUUGUUGAAUAUUUAAUUUUAUUAUUUUUGUGUAUUUUAAAUGAUAACACCCUGUAUUUCGGAGCAAAGGUUUGAGCUACUAAACGUAUGUAGGGAAUGCAUGGGGACCACUAAAUUACCUCAGAACAUUUCAGGUAAAGUGUAAAGUGUUUAAUUAAUAUAAUUACUAAUCGGUAAAGCGUAAACAUUCUGCGGUGAAUUAACUACAGUAAAAUGUUUUCUUAAUAUAUCCCUAACUGUUGUACAUUUACCUGUAGAUAUGCAUAUAUGUACUAAGUAAUAUAUGUACUAAGUCAACUAGGUAGUAAGGUAUUUAGAAUUGUUUUUUUCAUAGGAAGUUUGGGAAGUUUGAUACGGGAAAAACAACGGAAACACGAAACAACUCCAAAACAGUCCACUAAUCUUAAGGAUUUGAGGACUAAGAUGUAGACCACUCUCGGAUUCACUACAACAACAACAAUACGAGAUAACAACGGUGCAUUUGACACCAAAAACAGCAGCAACACAAUGAUAACAAGAUGAACACAAUGAGAAUAAAUUUCGGAUACAAGAAGAACACAAAACUGUCCACUAUGAAUCUACAAAGUGCAAUAAGAUAAAGAUAGAUAGAUAGACCAAAUGAGGGAAUAAUAUUAACAACCCAAGAAUUGUUACACCCUUGGACCUUUAAUACUACACACAACACUAACCUAUCUCCUACAUAGGCACAAGAGGGAUCUCGAUCUUCCAAGGACCAACGUUUCCAAGCUUGAAUCCAACACGACUGAUUACACACUCAAGUUGAUUUCCCUAGUUACAAUUUUAGAUUUGUGCCUCAAGGAGAGAGGACUUGUCUUUCAUUGUUAUACGACAUUCAUCAUCAUCAAAAUCUGAUGAAUGAAUCCCUAGAAGGUUGUAUUUAUAGUGUAUUACAAGAAUAGUAUGAAAUGUCCCAAAUGACCCCUUAGUCAAAGUCUUCAAGUGCGCUCCCUUGGAGUGCAUUGCAUGGACCGAUUUGGGAGCCUGGUUAGGCCUUCCUUUGCACUUCACUGUAUACUCUAAGUCUCAGGUUCAUUCACUCUCGCACUCACCCACCUCCAUGGCCGUACCCAUAUCAUCCUUUCCUUCUUGAAAAGGAUUCGACCUCGAAUCCGUACUUUGUAAAAUCAAGAUAAGACAAACAAACACACGUCCUCAUGACAUGAGAGGUUAGGGUUAGCAAAAAUAACAAAUCACAUGCCAUGCCAAGGUGGGACAAACUUGGAGUAUACCCAUAGGUCCUUUGUGUUGAACAUAAAAACCUUGGUAUAAAUAGCACAAAGGAAGAGGUCAUCAUCAACAAAAAGAGACAAGGAAGAACCUUGUCUUCCUUUAUUAGCAUCCACAAUCAAACGUUGCUUGUCGUCUUGACCAAGCAUCAAGUAGGAAGUGUAGAAAUUCCCAUAUUCUCGGAAGGUGUCAGGGUCAAAUAGGAGAAGUAGCCAAGGGUCUAAGCCGAGGUUAGCCCUUUCUUCCCCUAGAAUGUCACUCCCACAACCACGUAUGACAUUUGCCUUUAAGAGAAGACUAACAUUCAAGAAUAGAGAGACACGGCCUAGAAGUCCUACCUCAAAAAGACAUAUGUCAUCAUUUACAACAUUUCUAUACACAUGAUUUCUAUGAACAAAACUACUAGCAAGGCUUUUACCACACAAGAUGUUCAAAGAGUCACGUGUACCAUCAAGAUCAACUCUAUAAACACCAUCACUAACUUGAGAUUUUUUAAGCACGCCACACUUAUACUCAAGUAGUAGAAUACAUUCAUGAGUAAUUUGAUCUUCAUUCACAUCCUCACUAGUUGUUGGCAACUCACAUACCAACGUAGAAUCACCUUAGUUCGCACAAGGGUCAACUAGUGUGUGAGUACUCUUGUCAAUUGGUAAUAGAACCUUGUUCAAGUUAUAAGGGCUAGCACUAGAUAGACAUAAAUCAAUCUUACAAAACCAAUCAAUUUCAUUAUCUAAAGGAUCAACUAGUGCUUGCGUACUUACAACAAGAGUUUAGUCCUCACGCAACCUAACAUCACCAAGAGUAUCACCAUAGGGAGACUCAAAUACCUCUACUCUAGGUAAAUUCGUAACUACAUCCAAUUGGCCACUACUAGCCACAACACAACAUUCUAAGUUCAUAGGAGUGUAAGGAAUAGUAUUUUUUACCUCGUAGCUCACAUGAGCUACGACCUUCCUCUUGACGUGUGUCCAGGCAGCCCACUUGCUCCCUUUGACCUAUCAUACGAUCCAACCUUUCAUUUGCCAUAACUAGGCAUCGGGACAUAGUGUCAAGGUAGGCUAAAAUGACAUAGGUGGCAUUGUUAUCCAUGGGUUGAGAGGUGGAAGCCACGAAUUUCCUUGUAAUUGUACCUAAAAAAAUAAAGAAAAGAACACCUACAAAAUAAAACACAAGUUAGUUCGAAACAACCUCACCACACUCUCGCACAAUUGAUCGUGUCACACUUGGUUUCACAAGUGUUGAAAGCCGUUUUGUACUUUGCGAGUGAUUGAGGGUCGAGUCUACUCUUGGCCGGAAUAGAUUUUUGUUUGAGUUGACUCAAGCAAAAUUUGUUACGGACUUGAACCAACAAGAUACAACGAUUUCACAAAAGAGAAAAGCACACAACAAAUGCGUAACACGAAUGAACGAACACAAAAAACUAACUAACAAUCUAGUAGAUAAGUACUAGUUUGCCAAUUAGUAUUGGAACCAACGAAAUUGAAACUAAGAAACAACAAAUAGAAACUAAGAAAUCUAAAAUUUGAACUUAAAUAUGUUGCAUGAACAGUAAAACAUGAUGAUGUGGGAGCCACAUACUGGUCUCGGUUGCACACAACUUUUGUUGUCCAAUUUCAAGUCUUGGUCAAUUUUUUAAUUUGAACUUUAGUGGAACUUGUUCAAUGGAGGGAAACACAAAGUAGUCUUUAGAGCUUUUUUUUCAAUUAAAAUUUCAAGACUCAGUCUUGGACUAGACUUGUUCUCCUCCUUAAAACAUGGAUCCUUGUUUUAUGGGAAAGUGGUUGAGAUGUGAUUGACUUGUUGGUGAGUGAUGGUAAGUCUUUCAAGACUAACAAAGUUCUCACACUUUUUCCUUCACCUUUUUGGAUCUAACUUUCACUUUAUUUUAACAAGGUAUGAAGGUUUGGAAGAACACUUCAACAAUCACCAAGAAAAUCAACAACAAUCUCCUAAGAACAAUAACAAGGUCAACUACAAACUUCCAACAAACGGCUAAGUCCUUUAGUGUGGUGUUUUGGUAUUAACAAGGGGUGAAGAUUGUGAUGAACAUUAAGAAUACAACAACUUUUUAAGAAUAGUAACAACACCAACAAUGUCCAGCCCAAGUCCACAAGAAAGGUCACCACACGACCAAGAACAACAACAUCAAUACACGACCAUUAACUUGUCACAACAACAAUCUCAACAAUUCAAGCUCAACUCAAGAUAUAGACUCAAUGUGUUAGUGAUGAAAAAAACUAACACUUAGAGACAACAAAGACAAGUAAAAAUCUCGGCCAAGACACAACAAAAACAUAAUUUUCGGCCAAGAACACAAAAUAGACAGAGUGCUCUCUUUCAUGGAUUUUUCAGUUUUCAACUAUUUUUUUGUAGUUUUCAAGUCUCAAGCCCAAGAUUGAUCUUGUUAGAACAAAAUCAACGAUGGCUUUGAUACCAAAUGAUACGGAAAAAACAACGGAAACAUGAAACAACUCAAAAACAGUCCACUAAUCUUAAGGAUUUAAGGACUAAGAUGUAGACCACUCUUGGAUUCACUACAACAACAACAAUACAGAUAACAAUGGUGCAUUUGACACCAAAAACAGCAGCAACACGAGUGAUUCCAUACUCAAGUUGAUUUCCCUAGUUACAAUUUCAGAUUUGUGCCUCAAGGAGAGAGGACUUGUCUUUUAAUGUUAUACGACAUUCAUCAUCAUCAAAAUCUGAUGAAUGAAUCCCUAGAAGGUUGUAUUUAUAGUGUAUUACAAGAAUAGUGUGAAAUGUCCAAAAUGACCCCUUAGUCAAAGUCUUCGAGUGGGAUCCCUUGGAGUGCAUUGUAUGGACUGAUUUUGGAGCCUAGUUGGUCACUUGAAUACUACUCCCUCCAUUUCAUAAUAAAUGAAUUGUUGAAUUUUGGCACACAUAUUAAGAAAAAAGCAUUAAUGACAUAAAUUUAACCCAACUUUCUAUUUUUACCCCAAAAAAAAGAAAAAGUUGACUUUGUAAUACCUUUUCAAAAGUUAAUUGGUUGUCAAAUCAUAAGGGCAAAUUUGAAAAAAAAAUUCAAUGAUUCUUUUAUUUUGAAACACCAAUAAAUACCCCAACAAUUCACUUAUUCCGAAAUGGAGGGAGUACUAAAAUAAAUCAUAUUAGUUGAAAAGUUUCCACCGCCUCAAAACCCUUAGUCAGCAACUUUAUCCACUUCAUUAUGUUAAUCCCUUGGAUGAAAAAUAAUUCUUAAGUCCAACUCCUAGGUAGCUGCCAAGGAUUUAAGUUUAUUUAACCCACCGCUUAAUGGAUUUGGCCCUAACACAAUGCAAAUAAAUCAUUUCAUACUCUCUAUAUACGUUAAGAAUCUUCUUAUAUUAAAUUCAUCCCAUAUCUAGGGAAUUUUUACUUUCUAAGUGACUUACUCAUCCAAGUACUUUUGAGCUCAGGAAGAAAUUAGGAUUCCUUGGGGAUUGUUCGAAACUCAUGGGGUUACUCUUAUUAGGGAAGAUCCAAGAAGACGGUCACCAGAAGGGCAUCGACGAUGUUACAUAUGAGAAAAAAUAAAAAAUUAAGGUAUGUAGAGCUAAAACCUUCUUCUCUAUAAAGGCACAAUGCUAGCUUACCCGUUUCUCCUAGAAGAGUUAACACAUGUUAUUUGUCAUGUAAGUAGAGCCUUUCUUAGUAAACGUCAAAUUUGGGCCUAUAUGUCUUCCCUAACCAAUUAUCUACACUCGUUCCUCACUCAAAACUACUCGUUCUCAUAGUUCACAUGUCUACUCGUUGAGGUCAUAGUAUUUAUAUUACCCUUUCUCAUCGGGUAUCUAUAAUGUUUUAUGUAAAAAAGACAUAUUACAUAGUUAUAGUAUAAAACAAAAGAGCUAACACUUGAAUUGGUGGAUAUUAUGGUCAAAGAAAUUAGUUGCUAAAAGGAUACUGCUACUUGAGUGCCUAAACAAUAUUUACUGUAAUAUAAUUGCAUAGGCCUAUAAGACACUAUUUGAUGAAGUUAAUGAUGGGAGGGUACAUAGGUUUGGCUUGGCAUAUCGCUCGACGUGAUUCUGCGUACAAGAUCGAGACCAGACCAUUAUAGUGAGCCCAAACAUUGUAGGGUACCCGCCCUUGGGGCAUCAUUUGUAUUUGGAGUCAGCUGGAAUGCCAUGUCUUGAUUUCCCCUGACUCGAGCCAACAUAUGGAAUAUAUGGCCUGCGGGCAGACCCUCAUAGUGAGCUCCUAGACGGGGUGUACCUGGAUACAGGCUGCGAUUACAGUUAUACAUAUGGGAUCAUAAAAAUGAGUAUGUGAGCAACAUAUGUUUUAUGCUUGCCUUAGAUUGCCUUCGGUAGGCCAUCAUGUGGUCAUUUGUAAUAGAGGUAGUUAUAAGACAUCACCUAGGAAAAUUACUAGGCAUUUCAUAAGAAUUACUAACUCGUAAGACAUUAUACGAUAGGUUAAUAAGACAAAUGCAUAGGUUUUAGUUCAUAUGAUGUACCUAUCAUUUGUAUGCUCAUAAGUUGUAGUUUAAGACUAGUGUUUCUAGUACUCAGUUGUCUAUACUUGCUCAUGUUGUUUUGAUUUAUUGAGCAUCCUUGUAUGUCUACUUGUUAUUCUGUCUGCUUUAUAUACUAGUACAUGUUGUAUAUGUACUAACAUCCCUAAAUCUGGGGGCACUAUAUUUUACAAAGCAGGGUCGAGUAUACAAGUUGGCCGACCUUCAUAUUAGGUAGUUGCAAUGUAUUCAGCGAAGCAGUCAGUAAGCUCCAUUCUUAUCAAGAGAUGAGAUCUCAUAGUACUCUUGGUCGUACUUCUGAUUAUAGUUUGGGUAUGUUGGGGACCUAUGUAACGCCCUGAAGUUUUUCUUAGCUAAAUUUUGUCCCUAAAAUAUCAAGCAUUGGCUUCUAGAAUGAUUUAUACCUUUUCUCGGUGGAAUCCCUAGAUUUUAACUUUUCAUGUCGUAGAUGAUUGAAUAAAUUUUCCGUCGACAUAAGAUGCAUCCAAAACAGACACUUGGUGAAGGAGUUAUGGUUAAUUUAAGUUCUAGUCGUAAAACACCGUCAUUCCUGUCCUUGGCGCAUCGUGAGGAGGGUGUAAAUGAUGAUGGUCAAUUUUUAGUGGGACUCCGUAAUGAUGGCGCAUCGCUGAGUGGGCCAAAUUCCCAUUCGUCAAUUUCCAAUGACCCACCGCGAUAGUGGCACGUCGCGGUGGCCCAUGAAAUCAGACUUCCAGUUAUAUUUUAAUAGCGCUCUCAUUAAGGGUAAAAUGAGUGUUCAGGAGUAUACUUUAAAGUUUAGUCAGCUGGCCCGUUAUGCUCCUGAGAUGACGAGUAGUAUGAGGGCCUGAAUGAGGAAGUUUGCUUCCGGUCUUUCAGAUAAUCUGGUGCUUGAGUGUCAGGGAGCUAUGCUGAAUAGGGAUAUGGACUUUGCUAGACUGUCAGUCCACAUACAGCAAGUUGAGGAGAAGAAGAAGAAGAAAGCCAAAUCUAAGAAAAAGGACAUGCAAGCAAAGAGAGCCAGAGCGACAAACCAGAGUCAUGAUCUGCAGCAGAGCGAUAAUUGGGGCAGAAAAUGGCAAAAGAAAAAGAAUUGGGGUAAUGCACAGUCGGCAGCUAGUGCUCCAGUGUCCAGACCCACAGCUGAGCAGCGCACCCAGAAUUUUUAGUCUAGUCAGGGGUCGAGGAUGCAAUGUACGCAAUCGCAGAGAAGUGAAGCCCAGACCUCUCGGUCCUAUCUGCGCUGUGGAAGAUGCAGGAAGAAUCAUCCAGAGAGAUGUCACUUUGGCGCUUUGGUGUGUUAUUCAUGUGGCCAGCUAGGUCAUAUCUAGAGAGACUGUCCGGCAGCAAAAAAAAAUGUUGGAGGAGCCAAGUCGCAGGCGAAUUCAUAUACACCACCACCUCAGAAAGAUGCCACUUCAGCCGCCAAAAAUGGUCAGAACCGGUUGUAUGCUUUGACCAACCUCCAGGAGGCAGAGGCCUCAUCAUAUGUAGUCACCGGUACGUUGUAAAUCUUUUCUCGUGAUGUGUAUGUAUUACUUGAUCUCGGGUCUACCUUGUAUUAUUUGACCCCAUACGUAGCUGUUGGUUUUGGGUUUGAGCCCGAUGUGAUUGCUGAACCUUUUUUGGUUUCCACCCGAGUAGGAGAUUCUGUUGUGGCUAGGAGGGUGUAUAAAAAACUUGUUGUGUCUAUUUUCAGCCGGGAUACUGAAGCAGAUCUUAUAGAACUUGAUAUGGUUGAUUUUGAUGCCAUCUUAGGGAUGGACUAGCUCUAUUCGUGCUAUGCAACCUUGAAUUGUAGGACCCGAAGAGUCAUAUUUUAUUUUUCGAAUGAGUCUGUGAUAGAAUGGGAGGGACAUUCUUUAGCACCUAGAGGGCACUUCAUAUCUUAUCUCAGGGCCCAUAAAUGCAUUUCCAAAGGUUGCUUGUAUUAUCUUAUUCCGGUUAAAGACUCUAGUGCUGAAAGUCUCCCUCUUCAAUCUGUUCUCAUAGUAAAUAAAUUCCCAAAAGUCUUUCCAGAUAAUCUCCCAGGAAUACCACCUAAUAGGGAGAUAUAUUUUGGUAUUGAUUUAUUGCCAGAUACCCAUCCUAUUUCUAUUCCUCCAUAUAGGAUGGCUCCUGCAGAGCUAAAAAAGUUGAAAGAACAGCUAGCAGAUCUUCUAAAUGAAGACUUUAUCCACCCUAGUAUGUCUCCCUGGGGUGCACCUGUACUUUUCGUUUGAAAGAAAGAUGGUUCCCUGCGUAUAUGCAUAGAUUACCGCUAGGUACAAAAGAUCACUAUAAAAAAUAAGUAUCCGCUUCCUAGGAUUGAUGAUCUAUUUGACCAACUACAGGGUGCUAAUUGUUUUUCUAAAAUAGACCUUCAUUCAGGAUAUCAUCAAUUGAAAGUUAGGGAGUCAGACAUUCCCAAGACAGUUUUCCGAAUCAGAUAUGUUCAUUAUGAAUUCCUAGUCAUGUUCUUCGGGUUGACUAACACCCCUGCAUCCUUCAUGGACCUAAUGAAUAGGGUCUUUCGAUAGUUUCUAGACUUGUUUGUCAUAGUUUUCGUUGAUGAUAUCUUGAUUUUUUCCAAAAGUAAGGAGGACCAUGCCAAUAACCUUCGAAUUAUCCUUCAUACCCUUAAAGAACAUAAGUUGUAUGCAAAAUUUUCCAAGUGUGAAUUCUGGUUGAAUGCUAUUGCGUUCUUGGGGCAUAUUGUGUCUAGUAAGAAGAUUAAGGUUGAUCCCCAAAAGAUUGAGGCAGUGAGAAAAUGGCCCAAACCCAUGACUUUAACCAACAUUUGAAGCUUCUUGGGUUUGGCGAGGUAUUACAGAAGAUUCGUCGAGAGUUUUUCUUCCAUAGCUGCACCACUUACUAAGUUGACUCAGAAAAAGGUGAAGUUUUUGUGGUCUGACUCUUGUGAGAAUAGUUUUGAGAAGUUGAAAGACAAGUGGACUACUACUCCUGUUUUGACUCUUCCGAAAGAUACAAAAGGUUUUGUUAUAUAUUGUGAUGCGUUCCGAGUGGGACUUGGGUGUGUUCUUAUGUAGCACGGUAAGGUAAUGGCUUAUGCAUUCAGGCAGUUAAAGGUGCAUGAGCGAAACUACCCUACUCAUGAUUUGUAGUUAGCGGUUGUGGUUUUUGCACUUAAGAUCUGGCGGCACUAUUUGUAUGGGGUACACGUUGAUAUAUUUACUGACCACAAGAGUUUACAGUAUGUUUUCUCACAGAAAAAAUUGAAUCUCAAACAGAGGCGAUGGUUGGAACUUUUAAAAGACUAUGACAUGAGCCUACACUAUCAUCCGGGCAAGGCGAAUGUGGUAGUCGACGCCCUCAACAGGUUAUCUAUGGGCAGUCUUUCUCAUAUGGGGAAAGAAAAAAAGAAGAUGGUAAAGGAUAUUCACUGACUCACAAAUCUAGGAGUGCGACUUUUGGAUUCUGAGGAUGGAGAAGUGGUUGUUCAUGAGAUACCUAAAUCUUCCCUUUGUCCAGAAGUUAAAGAGAAACAGGUUGAAGAUCUCAUCUUGAUGCAGAUUAAGAAAGAUGUGGGUCAACAAACGGUAAUGUCAUUUGAAAUUGGUGGUGAUGGUAUUUUGAGAUACCAGGGUAGGUUGUGUGUCCCAGAUGCAGAUGGUCUGAGAAAGAGAAUCCUUGACGAAGCUCACACGUCGAGGUAUGUUGUUCUCCCUGGCAUUACUAAGAUGUAUCAUGAUUCCAAAACCAUUUAUUAGUGGAAUAAUAUGAAGCGUGAUGUGGCUAAUUAUGUUGCUAAGUGUUUGAAUUGUCAACAAGUUAAACUAGAAUAUUUGAGGCCAGGUGGUUUUUCUUAAGAUAUAGCUUUGCCUUUGUGGAAGUGGGAGAUGAUUAAUAUGAGCUUUAUUACAUGACUUUAGAGGUCCCCAAACUAGUAUGAUUCCAUUUAGGUGAUUGUAUAUAGGUUGACCAAGUCAGCUCAAUUUCUACCUGUCAGGAUAAAUUAUUCAGGAGAGGAUUAUACCAAGAUGUUCAUUGCAGAAAUAGUUCAUUUGCAUGGGGCACCUGUGUCCAUCAUAUCUGACAGAGGUACACAGUUUUGGACAUCGUUUCAAAAGGGUUUAGGUACCCAAGUGAAUUUGAGCACGGCUUUCCACCCUCAGACAGAUGGAAAAGCUGAGCGCACCAUCCAGACCCUUGAGGAUAUGUUGAGGGCCUGCGUGAUUGAUUUUAAAGGUAGUUGGGUAGAGCAAUUACCAUUGAUAGAGUUUGCAUAUAAUAAUAGUUUCCAUUCCAGUAUUAAGAUGGCACCUUUUGAGGCAUUGUAUGGGAGAAGAUGUAGGUCCCCGAUAGGAUGGUAUGAAGUAGUUGAGAAGCAGAUAUUUGCGCCUGAUCUUGUUCAUCAGGAAAUAGAGGAUGUGAAAGUCAUUAGAGAAUGACUUAAGACAGCUCAGAGUCAUCAGAAGUCCUACGCCAAUGUUAGAAGAAGAGAUCUAGAGUUUGAGGUUGGAGAUUGGGUGUUUCUCAAGGUUUCUCCCAUGAAGGUAGUCAUGCGAUUUGGGAAGAAAGGUAAGAUGAGUCCUCACUAUAUAGAACCAUAUCAGAUUGUAAGAAGGAAAGGUGGAGUUACGAUGAGUUAGGAUUGCCAGCUAGUUUGGGUUCGGUUCAUCCGGUAUUUCAUAUAUCUAUGUUGAAGAAGUGUAUUGGAAACCAUUCUUUAGUAUUGCCUGUCGCAGAAAUCAAAGUGACAGACUACUUAUCCUAUGAAGAAGAGCCUGUAGAUAUUUUGGAUUGCCAAGUUAGAAGAUUAAGGAACAAAGAGAUAGCCUCAUUUAAAGUGUUGUGGAGAAACCAGAAAAUUGAAGAAGUGACUUGGGAAUCAGAAGUUGACAUGAGAGCUAUAUACCCAAACCUUUUUGAUCCAAUGUAUGACAAAAUAGAAGGUACAAUCCUUGACUUAAUCUUUCUAUGCCUUAGUAUGCUUGAAAUUACACUUGUAUGUAUCCCACGUCAACAUUCGGGGAUGAAUGUUCCCAAGGGGGGGAUAUUGUAACGCCCCGAAGUUUUUCUUAGCUAAAUUUUGUCCCUAAAAUAUCAAGCAUUGGCUUCUAUAAUGAUUUAUACUUUUUUCCUGGUGGAAUCUCUUAGAUUUAAACUUUUUAUUUUGUAGAUGAUUGAAUAAGUUUUCUGUCGACAUAAGAUGCGUCCAAAACGGACACUCGGUGAAGGAGUUAUGGUGAAUUUAAGUCCUAGUCGUAAAACACCGUCAUUCCUAUCCUUGACGCAUCACGGAGAGGGUGUGAAUGAUGAUGGUCAAUUUCUAGUGGGACUCCGCGAUAGUGGCGCAUCGCGGAGUGGGCCAAAUUCCCAUUCGUCAAUUUCCAGUGAGCCACCGCGAUAGUGACACGUCGCGGUGGCCCAUGAAAUUGGGAUCUCAGUUAUAUUUUAAUACCGGUCUUAUUAAGAGUAUAUUGGGUAUUUUCCCACACCCUUAUCAGUCCAAACACGAGAUUUCAACCCCAGAUUGAGCAUACUACUCAUACAUUCACCAAAAAUAUUCAAGAACACUCUCUAGGGUUCCAUAUUGAUAAUCCAAAUAAAUCAAGAUUCAACUGUGGGUUUUCAAAACAAAUUGAAGAUUUGGAAUCCCCAAGCCAUGGGCAUCAAGAAGCAUCCUUUAAAUUUCUAGAUAGAGGUACAUGGGGUUUACCCUAAAAAAAACUACAUGGGCUUAAAAUCAUUAGAGCAUGAUUUUAAGAUUUUUAUGCAUGAAUUUCAAAGGGGUUUUGGAAUCUAUGAUCUAAAUUACGUACUUCGAAUGUUUUAAUGUUACUAUUAUUUUGACCUUGUGGUCUUAUCUCUUCAAUUGAUUUACAUGUAUACGUAUAUAUAUGGAAUUUGAGAUUUAAGAUCGUUGAGAGCAUAAAUUAUGAACUCCCUCUCAUGUAUUGAAUUAAAGAUUAUGAUUUUGUGAUUUGAAAGAUGUUUUCGCAAUAUUAUAGCAUUUGAGCAUGAUUUGAAAUUGUUGAGAGGGUGUUUCUUGAUAUAAAUGUGUUCUUGUGUGAGAUAAUACAUUGAAACACUCUAAACUUGUAGCCAAAACUUACUUUAAACCCUAAACUAUUCGGGCAAUUAUUUAUCCCCCUUAACAACUUUCAAGUGAAUUUUUUUCCACCCUAAAAAAAUUAUACCACUCUCAAUACAGAGAGAAAAGUGCACGCGCCCCACGUAAUUGCCAAAUUAGUGCCAUGUCAUUGCCACAUAAGAAAUUGUAAUUUUUAAAAAAAUCCAAUAAAUAUAUUAUUUUUAUAUUUUUUUUUAAAAAGCAAAAAAUAUAUUUGUACUUUAUAUAUAUGUAUAUAUAUAUAAAGAACCCCCCCUACUAAUUCUUCUCCAACCCCCCCCCCCCCCCUUCUCCUCCUUCUUUAAUUUUUUUUUUACCAUUAACACCAAUAACUUGAUUCGAAUUUAACAAUAAAUUGAUAAAUAACUUGUUCAUGUAGAUUAAGCCAUGGCUCCUCUAUCAACAUUUAGAAAUCAACAAUUGCAAGUAGAACAAAAUCUAAAAUCAUCCACAACAAUUCCAAAUCUACCAAACGAUUUAGCAGCAAUAAUAGGGGGGAGAAAGAAGAUAAAGAUUGGGGGGUGUGGGGGGGGGGAGUGGGGGUGGGGGAAGGGAAUGGUUAUGAAGAAGAUGAUGAUGGAAGUGAAUUUUUGAUUAUUUUAAUCUAAUAUAUAUAUAUUAAUAAAACUUGUAAAAUUAAAAGGUGGGACCCAUCAUUUUCCAUGUUUUUAAAGCAAAUUACGUGCUGAUUUUUAAAAAAAUUGUCACGUCAGUAAUUAGGGUGGAAAAAAAUUCACUUGGAAGUUGUUAAGCGGGGUAAAUAAUUUCCCGAUUAGUUUAGGGUCUAAAGUAAGUUUUUGCUACAAGUUUAGGGGUGUUUCAAUGUAUUAUCUCAUCUUGUGUUUAAGAGAAAGAAUUACAUGUGAAUUGAGAACUUUGACAUGACCACCUUGUACUGUACUACUGAAAUGCUUGACAAAGAUGAGUUCCUUGCAUGUGUUUACAUGAGGUUUGAGAAAGAGUUUCUUUGAAUUGAAUUAUUGAAAUGGUGGUCCCAAAACUUGUCUUUCAAAAACAGAGAUCUACAAUAGACUAAUAAUGGCUCAGAAAUAUGACUUGCAAGUCAAUGGUAUAACGAUAACAUAUGUAUUUAUGCCAUAACAGAUUAUGUUUUUAGAGCAUCUUUUCAAAGUAUGUUUUCAGAGACUGUAUAUUUUGAUAGAGUUUUAAAAAAAGAAUUAAAGAGGGUUAGGUGGUUACCCGAAGAAGGCGCGAGUUCAAGCAACUCUUAGCCUAAAACCGUAUUUGCAAAUGCCCAUGUAAAUUCUUACUAUAUGAUGUACUUAUGAACUAUUUUAAGUUCUCUCAUAUAUAUUGAAUAAUAAAUGAUUAUUUGGAUAUGCUCUGCGUACCAGUACAUCUGUAUUGACCCCCCUCCCCCUACCUCUCAGGUUCUGAGACUCAGUCUAGGAGUCCAGAUAAGUAGUAGAUAAUUCAGAAAGCUGAUUAGAUUGUGCAGUGGUGAGCCUUCUUUAUUCCAGAAGGCCUGUCUUUUCAGAUUAUGUCACUUAUUUUAGUUUUUGGUCUACUGGGGGCCUUGUCCCAGUUUCAGACAGCUGUCAGAUUUUCAUGUAGUAGAGAUUUCGCAGGCUGAGUCAGAUGUUAUUUAGAUGUAGUUGAUUUACAGUUUCCAUACUUGUGUUGAAUUCAGAAUUGACCAUGUUUCCAUAGCAGAUUAUGUUUCCGCAUCUUCUUUUAUUAUAUGAAUGUUGUGCAUGAUUACCAGAUAGAAAAGGGCAUUUCGGGCCUUCAUGGUUCGGGAUGUUCGUCAUGGACAGGCCCUCGUUCGGGUCGUGACAACCUAUCUCGACCAUAUAGCAUUGUACCGUUAUAGAUUCUAUUAGAGGCUUAGUAGGAAAUCUAAAAUUAUCAUAUGCAACUAUAGUUUCAAUUGUUGACUGUGGUAGUGUGAAUAGUUGGAUAGUUUGACUUAUAUAUAGUUCCUCAUUACGAUUGCAUGUACAGUGACUCAUCCGCUUAGAACAAGUCAUUUGUAUAAUGUGUUCUUAUACGGAUCCUUCUCCACCUCGAUUAGUUUAAGGGCGUGACAUAAUUUUUUUUUAGUUUGAUUUAGAAUUUUAUAUUAUGGAUAAAUUAAGAAACCUUGCUAGUAAAGUGUCAAAAAAAUUAUUCCGAAAGUGGUAGUGGUAGUAAAAAAGCGAAUUACUAGCGGUAGAGGUAGUUCAAGUAGUAGAUAUACCCAUGUGUCUCCGGUACCGCUAAGUCAACCUUUUGAUGAAGAAGUAGGUGUAUGUGCUCACGAUAUGAAUUAUGAAGAAGCUUAGGAAAAUUACGGUAUAGAAGAAGAAAAUAAAGUAGAUGUGGUUAAUUUAGAUCUGAAUCGGUUAUCGCCCUCCCCGUCCUCUCCGUACCCCAAGAGUUCAUAAAACAACUAGUAUUGCAUGGCAAUUUUUUACACAUAUAGAAGGAGAGACUAAGGUGCAAUGCACUAUUUGUCAACAAGUAUAUGAGCAUAAAAGAGAAGGCAAUCAAGGGAGUACAGGUACGCCAAUGAGACAUAUAAAUGAUAAUUACGAAAGAGAGUUAUUUAUUACACGAGAUAAUGACGCUGUUAGUGGGACAACACAAACUAGAAUGGAUCCAACAACCGACCAGGUAAUUAAGAAUUAUAAUAUAUAUAGGGAUUGGGAAGAAAUAGCAAAAAUGGUAGUUGUGGGUUGUUUGUCUUUCAGUUUUCCUUCUUCGGAUACUUUUAUUCAUUAUAUUCAAGCAAUUUAUAAUCUUAUGUUUAUGGUAUUCCUAGAAGUACUUUUCGGGUUGAUAUUUUUAGACUUCAUUCGCAAUAUAUUUUUUUAUUUAUCUACGUUGUUAAAAAAUACUCAAUGUAGAAUGACUCUAACUUCUGAUCUUGGUCGUGCUAUCAAUAAAAAUAAUUAUUUAACCAUUACUGGAUAGAUAGUAAUUAUGUUGUGCAAAAAUGUAUUCUUGCUUUUUUGUAUGAUGUACAUCGUAGACAUACUAGAGAAUUUAUUGCUGAUUCGGUUAGUAAAGUUGCAGAAUUUUAUGGUAUUGAAAAAAAAGUCUUAUGUAUUGCUUUUGAUAAUACUUCUACAACAAGACUGCUAUUACAAAGUUAAAAGCUAAGCUCUCUCCGUCGUUACCUGAAAUAUUUUAUGUUAAGUGUGUUUGUUAUAUAUAUAAGUUAAUUAUAAGAGAUGGUCUUGAAUUUUUUAAGCUUUAUAUUAAAAAAAUUUGGCUUGUUGUUGGCUUUAUUCAAGGAAAUAAUCGAAGAAAAAGAAUUAGAGAAUUUAAAGUUAAAUGUCAAGAAAAUGGACUUAGACCGUUAUUGAUGCCUGAAGAAUGUGCUACUAGAUGGAAUGCUACGUAUGAUUAUUUAAAAACUUGUCAUGCUCAUAGAGUUCCUAUUACACUAACUUUUAACCAACAUUGUGGUUCAUUUGUUGAUUCAAUUGAAUGUAUGCUACAUGAUUCUGAUUGAGUUGUAAUUGAUAAUCUUGUUAAGUUUUUGGAAAAAAUUUAUAUAGCUACAGUUGAAUUUUUCGGUGUUUAUUAUCCUACUUUUUGUAAUAAUUUAGCAGAUAUAGACGAUAUUUGCUCAAAAAAUAUAAGAAUAAAGAAGGUUACAAAGAAGUUGUUGAUGCUAUGUUUGCAAAAUUUAAAAAAUAUUUUUUUCGGUUCCCCCUAUUUACUUGGUUGGUUUUAUACUAAAUUCAUGUAUGAAAUAUAAUACUAUGUGUCAAUUUAGUACUCUUAUUUAUUCUAACUUAGAGAUAAAUACUAACAAUGAUUCUGAUGAUGAAGAACAAGAACAACUAUAUUUGUAUACAGCUAUGAGUGAUGCGAACAUUUACAUAGAUAAAUUAUAUAACCAUUAUGCUGAUGUACUUGAUUUAGCUGUACGACAAAUAUCACUCCAACUGUCGUUCAUCCUCCUCCUGAGGAGCCAUCAUCUUCUAAAAGGCCGGCACAUAGUGGUUUUCAUGAUUACUUUUAUGAUUUAAAUGUUUGAAACAAUUUUGAGGAGGGAACUUACACAACAACUUCUCAGGAAGAGCUUAACUCAGCACAAUCAAGUCCAAUGCAUGGUUUUGCCCCCAUUGACUUUGACUAUCCUAAGAAAGUUUCCGUUAAUUUUAACAUGGAUGAGUUGAAAAAAAUGAUUAAAACUUUGUAGAUUUUCAUUCAUGUACAUUAUAAAUUUUGAAUCAUUUUGCAAUCAAUAAAAUAUAACAUUCAUUCACUCCUUAAUUUAUAAUUUUUUUAAUUUAAUGAUUUAAAUUGAACUUCUAGUUUAAAUCAAAUACUUAGUUUUAAUAUAUUACUAAUAAUUACUAUUAAGUAUUAUUAAUUUAUUAUAUCAAGUAGCAUAUUUUUUAAAGUAGUACAUAUAUUGAAUGGUACGUAUAUAUGUGUAUAUAUUUUCUAUAGAGUAUAGACUCUAAAGUAGUAUAUAUUUAACGUAUACAUGUGUAUAUGUUUUAUAAAUUAGUAUGUAUAUUGUAGUAUAUAUCUUGUAGUAUAUGUAUAUUUUUUAAAGUAGUACACAUAUUGAAUGGUACGUAUAUAUGUGUAUAUAUUUAUUAUAGAGUAUAGACUCUAAAGUAGUAUAUAUUUAACGUAUACAUGUGUAUAUUUUUUUAUAAAUUAGUAUAUAACUAUAUAUUUUUUUUUGUGCAUAUAUUGUAGUAUAUAUAUUAUAGUAUAUAUUUUAUUUAAAGUUGUACAUAUUUAUUGAAUGGUACGUAUAUAUGUGUAUAUAUUUUCUAUAGAAUCUAAAGUAGUAUAUAUUUAACGUAUACAUGUGUAUAUGUUUUAUAAAUUAGUAUAUAUAUAGUGUUAAUAUGUUGUAUGUAUAUUUUUUAAGUAGUACAUAUAUUAAAUGGUACAUAUAUAAGUGUAUAUAUUUUCUAUAGACUCUAAAGUAGUAUAUAUUUAUCGUAUACAUGUGUAUAUGUUUUAUAAAUUAGUAUAUAUAUAGUGUUUAUGUGUUGUAUGUAUAUUUUUUAAAGUAGUACAUAUAUUAAACGGUACGUAUAUAUGUGUAUAUAUUUUCUAUAGACUCUAAAGUAGUAUAUAUUUAAUGUAUAUAUGUGUAUAUGUUUUAUAAAUUAGUAUAUAACUAUAUNNNNNNNNNNNNNNNNNNNNNNNNNNNNNNNNNNNNNNNNNNNNNNNNNNNNNNNNNNNNNNNNNNNNNNNNNNNNNNNNNNNNNNNNNNNNNNNNNNNNNNNNNNNNNNNNNNNNNNNNNNNNUAUAAUAUAUAUAAUGUAGUAUAUGUUUUAUUUAAAGUAGUACAUAUAUAUUGAAUGGCACGUAUUUAUGUGUAUAUAUUUUCUAUAAACUCUAAAGUAGUGUAUAUUUAAUGUAUACAUGUGUGUAUGUUUUAUAAAUUAGUAUAUAUAUUGUAGUAUAUAUCUUGUAGUAUAUGUUUUAUUAAAGUAGUAUAUAUAUUUAACUAACGUAUAGUCGUAUACAUGAUUACAUGUGUAUAUGUAUAUAUGUUCUUAAAAUUCUAAUGUAGUAUAUACUAUAUAUAUAGUGUAUAUAUAUUGUUUAACAUAUUUAAAAUGUAUAUAGGUGGGUAUAUAUAGUGUAUAUUGGAGAAAAAAAUUUAAUUUUUUUUGUUUUGACCGAUUUUGACCGAAUUUUGAACCGAUUUUGAUCGGAUUUAGGCGGGUUGGACCGGAUUAGGGCUAAUGGGCCGGUCUCGGUUUUUUUUUUAAAAUCGGACCGGCCUGUUAAGCCAGGCUCAGAUUCGGACCGGCCCACAACACGGUUAAAAGUGAUGAGCCGGUUCUGAGUUGACCCGGCUCGACCCCAUUAACUGGCUUAUUGUGAACGUUAAUUUAUUACUUAUAAGAACCAACAAUUUUAAUCUUCCGUGCAUGAGUUAAAAUACUACAUACACAAAAUUAUCUAUUAUAUAAGCAAAGGACACACAUGUUAACAGAAUGAUCUAUUCAAAUAAAGAUUUUAUUAAUAUAAUAAAUAGUCUUUACAUGGAAUGAAAAUAUAAUACUAUAAUACAAACUACAUGGUUAAUAGUAUAUCCUAACAAUCUCCCACUUAGACUCAUAACCAUGAAUGCACAACUUUAACACCAUUUUCUUCCACAUGUUUAUCAUAAACCUUCUGGGUUAAGCCUUUUGUAAAUGGGUCCGUCAAAUUGUUCUUCGACUCAAUCUUCAAAACUCUCACAUCACCCCUUUGAGUUAUAUCCCAAAUCAAGUGAUAUUUGCUCUCAAUAUGCUUACUUUUUUUAUGACUUCGUGGUUCUUUCGAGUUUGCAACAGCACCACUAUUGUCACAAUAAAGUGGUAGUGGUGUUUGAAUCGAAAGAACAACUCCAAGCUCUUUCAAAAAAUUACCGAGCCAAACAACCACUUUAGCUGCCUCAGAGGCAGCUACAUAUUCGACUUUCAUGGUGGAAUCAGUAACACAUGAUUGCUUGAUACUCCUCUAAACAAUGGCUCCACCUCCUAAAGUAAACACAUAUCCUGAGGUAGAUUUUCUAGAAUCUUUAUCCGACUGAAAAUCUGAAUCAGUAUAUCCAACAAGUACAAGACUCCCAUAGUGAAAAACAAGCAUAUAAUUCCUAAUUCUUUUAAGGUAUUUGAUUAUAUGCUUAACCGCAGUCCAAUAUUCUUGCCCAGGAUUAGACUGAAAUCUACUAACCAUGCCUACCGCAAAACAAAUAUCAGGUCUAGUGCAUAACAUAGCAUACAUAAGACUCCCUACAGUUGAAGCAUAAAGGACUGCCUUCAUUCUCUCUAUCUCAUCGAUCAUUUUGGGUGACAGAUCUUUUGAUAGAGUAAUUCUAUGCCUAAAAGGAAGGAACCCCUUUUUGGAAUUUUGCAUGCUAAUUCUUGCAAGAAUAGUAUCAAUAUAAAAAGUGCUUGAGAUAAGCCUAAUAUCCUUUGUUUGCGAUCUCGCAUAAGCUUGAUUCCAAGGAUAUGAGCCGCUUCUCCCAAGUCUUUCAUAUCAAAACGCGAGGACAGUCACUCCUUAACAGAAUUCAACAUGCUCACAUUAUUUCCUAUGAGCAAAAUGUCAUCUAUGUACUAAAUAAAAAAUGUUACUCUGUCUCUAUCCCAUUUUUUAUAAACGCAUGACUUAUUUUCACAUUGAUCAAAACCAAAAGUCUUAAUCUAAUUAUCAAAACAAGUAUUCCAUGCUCUAGAUGCUUGUUUCAAAUCAUAAACAAAUUUCUUAAGUUUUACAAAACUUAUGUUCAUUACCACUUUUCAUGAAAUCUUCUGGUUGUGUCAUAUAAAUGCACUCGUCAAGACUUUCAUUUAGAAAAGUCGUCUUGACAUCCAUUUUUCAAAUCUCAUAAUCAUAAUGAUCAACAAUGGAUAAGAGAAUCCUAAUGGAUUUAAGCAUAGCUACCGACGAAAACGUUUUCUCAUAAUCAAUUCCUCCUUUUUGAGUAAACCCUCUCGCAAUAAGCCUAGCCUUAAAAGUUUACACUUUUUCAUCCACACCUCUCUUUUCUUAUAGAUCCAUCUACAUCCAAUGGGUUUGACUCCUGUAGGUGCUUCUAUAAGUUCCCAGACUUGAUUGGAAUACAUAGAUUCCAUUUCAGAUUUCAUAGUAGCAAUUCACAUUUUAGCAUCUUUGUCAUGUAGUGCUUCGGCGUAAUUAAGAGGUUCUGUAUUAGGCCCCUUAGGAAUUCUAUCAUACGAUUCUCCCAAGCAUAAAUCGUAAAGAUUUUCUAAUAAUUCUCCCACUACGAGGACUAGUCACUACGGAUCUGCUAUGUUUGAAACUAAAUUUUGAACACUCCCAAUGUCUUCCUGUACUAUAACAAAUUCCUCGACAUUAUCCUGAAUGUUUUUCUCCACAAUUACAGGCUACUCGACGUUACUCCCACUACUUUGAGGUAGUGUAAUGUCAAGUGUUUGCUCUUGUGCAACCUCUUGCCUAUUGAUAUUUCUCCCACUGCGUGGAUGCAAUGGUAUGUCAAUAAUGGUUUUUGGAAUUUAUUCUUGUGUUUCAUUAUUUCUUAUUCUAUUGCUCAAUUCCCGUAAAAUAAUUUUACUUCUAGGAACGUGGUUCAUUAAAUAAUCUUCUUCAAGAAAUCUGGCCUUUGUCAAAACAAUUACCUUUAGUUUCUGAGGACAAUAAAAUAAACCCCCUUUCAUUCCUUUUGGAUAUCCAGUAAAAACGCACACUUCUAUCCUAGAUUCCAACUUAUCAGGGAUAGAUUCCAACUUAUCAGGGAUAUUUGGAUUCCAACAUAUCCCAAAUCCGAAUAUGUCGUAGACUAGGAUUGCGCCCACUCCACAAUUUAGAUGGGGUUAAAAGUACUAAUUUUGAAGGAAUCAAGUUCAGAAUACAAUUUAUAGUUUCUAAUGCAUAACCCCAAAAACAAAAAAGGCAAAUAUAAAUAACUUAACAUUGAUCUAACCAUUUGCAAAUGAGUUUUAUUUCGUCGUUCUGUCACACCAUUUUGUUGUGGUGUUCCCGGAGCAGAAUAUUGAGAUAUAAUUUCUAAUUUUGAUAAAUAUUUAAUGAAUUCCGCAAAAAGGUAUUCACCACCACAAUCAGAUCGUAAUAUAUGGAUAUGUUUGUUUUGUCGCUUUUCUGUUUUCAUCUUAAAUUCUUUGAAUCUUUCAAAGCAUUCAUAUUAACGGCACAACAAAUAAAUGUAUCCAUGUUUUGAGUAAUCAUCUGUGAAAGUAACAAAAACUCAAAACCACACUUGUUUGUACAUUCAUAGGACUACACAAAUCAGUAUAAAUUAAUUCUAAAUUAUUACCGGCUCCAUUUUCUUUGGAAGGAAAAUGUCUCUUGGUCAUUUUACCAUCUAAACAGGAUUCACAAGCUGGAAGUGUCUCCACUUCCAAUAAACUCAAAGGUCCAUCAGAAACCAACCGUGAGAUCCUAUUUAAGUUAAUAUGACCUAGACGUAAGUGCCAUAAGUAUGUUUCACUCAAUUUCGAAAUACGUUUCCUUUUAAGUGAUUGAACAACAUUAUUAAGUUUUAUUUUUUUGUAGCAUAUUAUGGGAAACCUCAAAUACAAACAAGUCAUGUAUUCUAGGAGCAGAAAUAAUAAAAUGUUUAUUAAACAUAAUAAUUGCACAAUUAUUAACAAAAUAAACAUUAUAACCAACAUCCAUUAUUCUUGAAACUGAAAGUAAAUUUCUUCUUAUAGAAGGUACGUAAAGAACAUUAUUCAGUCUUAAAACUCUAGAACUACUAAACGAAAUAGAAAUAUUUCCUAUAGCUAAGGCUAGUGCUAGUUCCCCAUUUGCUUGAAACACAUUCAGUUCAUUUUCACUUAGACGUCGUGUUUCCUGAAACCCCUGCAAUGAAGUGCAAAUAUGAUUAGUGGCUCCCGAAUCUAUAGCCCAAAAUCGGGUAGAAACAGCUGCUAAAACUGUUUCAACGACAUAUGAAAAAGAUGUACCUUAUUUUUGUAUCUUUGCUAUGUAGUCGGGACACUGUUUCUUAUAAUGACCAGGUUGCUUGCAAUGAUAGCAUUUGACCUUAGGUUUAGACACACUACCAUUAGCACUUGAAACCUUACGAGGCUUUUUUUUUCUUUUGGCCUUUCAGCUUAGAAAUCGAAGCUGAAGGUUUGUAACCAUUAAUGCCGCAUGAGGAGCUUAUUGCUUAAUAAUAGAUUUUGUCGCUUGCAGCUCAUUCAACAAUUUCACAAGAGAUAAGUCCGUCUUAUUCAUGUUAUAAUUCAAGCAAAACUACAGAAAACUGUCCGACAGAGUCUGCAGGACCAUCUCAACUCUAGAUUCCUUAUCAAUAACCGCACCAAGAAUUUCCAGCUCAUUUAACAAACCAUCAUUUUAAGAACAUAUUCCCUUACCAAAGUUUCUUCAACCAUUUUUGUGGUCAAAAGACCUUUCAUGGCCGUCUGCUUUGCAGCACGAUUUUGCUCACCAAACAUCUCUUUGAGAGAUUCAAGCAUAUCAUAAGCAGUAGUCUUGGACUGAUGUUGAUGCCACAACACAUUUUCCAUAGAGGCAAAAAUGUAGCAUCUUGCCAUCUCGUCAGCCUUGAUCCACUUAUCAUAGACUUUAAUCUCAUCAUCAGUGGGGUCAUCCGACUUAACAGGACAUUCCUCAACCAGCACAAAUUUAAAGCCCUCAGAAAUAAGAACAAUAACUAAUUACGUUUUCAGUCCACAUAGUUAGGACCUUCUAGUUUAUUUUGAUUCAAGAUAGAAGUGAAGGGAUUGAACAAAGACAUGGUUAAUCUGUUAUAUAAUUCAAUUAAAAACAAAUCAUUCGACAUGUUGUAGAAUAAUAAAAUUCUUUAAAAAAAAACAUCACAUAUAUAACCAUGCACAUAAACAGUUAGAAUCGUUAGUGAAACUUAACCAUUUAACCAAAUAUACAUGUAAUGUCAGAUAUUUUAUCUCUUAAAUAAAACAGAACUAACUCAGUUAGAGAGUAAACUGUUGAUUUAAGUUAGAUAAAUAUAACAUUUCAUAAGUCUAUUUACUAUUGAACCAACAUGUAACUUAGUUGGAAAGUUAAUACAAGUUAUAAAAAAUAAGAGACUAUAAAACAAUAUUAAACUAUACAAGUUUAUCUGAUGGAAAAGAUGACCUAUGUCCACAUGUAAACUCAUAUUAUUUACUGUUAUUACCCACUGAAAAUCAUAAGGAAUGAUCCCUAUUACCACUGGUUUGCAAAAGAUAAUUUUUUCGGAAUUUUUAAUAUUUCUGAAAACAUAAAAAUGCCCAAAAAGUCAACAAAACGACCCCGAAUGGCCAAAAAUGGCCUGUCUCACAACUAGUUAUAUGUAUUGUUUAGUGGCUCAUUUUCAAUAAAUGCACCAAAUUUCAGGUCAUUCAAAAUUCGUCAAAAACUGAAAAACUCCAAAAUCAAUCAAAACGACAAUUAUUGGUCGAGUUGUUGCGAGGGGGGUUGCCUGCACUGUUUGGCCUUACUACUACUGUUCAUAUAGUGAGUAAUGGCUAUGGUUGGAUUUAGCCGAAACUCAUCAUAAUUUUUCCCUUAAUCCUCAAAACUAAUUUUCACAAAACUAUGCAAAAUUUGUUUUAUGCUUUCUUGAUGAUAAACUGAGAUUCUCUUGAAAUCAAUAACAUCAUCAAAAACAUGAAAAGCAUCCAGAAACAACAUGAUUUAUACAAUUAUUAUCUAAAAUAUGUACAACAAAUCAUAUAAUUUCUUUUACAUUAUCUAGCAUAUGUAAGAAGACUACUGAUACCAAUUGUUAGAACGUGCACAUCGGAAGCAACAAUUCUACAGGAUCAAUAUAACUUACACAUAAUCUAGAUAACAUAAAUCAUCAAACGAAAUUGAAAAGCUACUUACCUGUUGAAGCUUUCACACAAUUUGUUCACUGCUUUGACCUCUAGGGCUACAGUCUUCUACUAUAUCCUGACUAACUUUUGCUAUCAAACUUGUGUGGGAAAGUGCUUUUUGAAUUCAAAGAGAAUAUAUCAAGAGAUAAUAAUCUUCUAAACAAAAUCCCUAUUUAUUCGUGUUUUCACUUAAAGUGGGGAAAGCCAACAUGCAAACGUUUUUGUCUUUUUAGUUGUCAAAAAUGCUUUCUGCCUCUUUAUUAUUCAAAAUGUUUUGUGCCCUUUAAUUGUCCAAAAUGUUUUCUUAUUUAAAAUCAGAAGAUAUAUUUUCCUUAUAGAAGACCAGUAAAUAAUAUUACUUCUUCUAGUAAGUUCUUUCUCUUUUCUAAAAUUGAUUAGUUGAUCAGGUAUAACAGGGAUCACAGAUUUAUUAAGUGAGGCUACCAAUUAUGAUAUUAAUUCGCAAAUGAAUGAAUUAUUGUAUCACAAUAAAUUAUAAAUUAAUCCACUAAAAAUCUGUAAUUGCACUCCUCAAUUUAAUUUUGAAAUCUACCAUUACAUCUUAUUUAAUUCCCUAUGUUAGAAUUACCGACACCAAUCAAUUAAAUUAAAUUUCUGAAAAAUUUUACUCAUUGUUUAAUUUAAUCCUUUAUUUACAAUGCUUAACUUAUUUUACAUGACGGAUACAAAAUCCACCUGCAGAAUUUUCACGUAAAAAUUUAUAAGCAACCAUAAAAGGGUGUCUUCCAUCUCAAGUCCGAGACAUGGUUCUAUCAACAAAUUAACAUUUCACUAAGUGAUUCGUUAUCAUCCAACCUAUUAGGAAUAUGUUGACUCACAAAAAAGUCUCACCUUUUAAUAAAUUAAAACGACAAAACAAACCACAUAGAUCAUAAUAAUUAUAUCAAGAUUAAGAGUAUAAGUACAUGUAAUGAACUAGAGAAAUCGUUAAUUAAUAUUCAAAACAUAAACGAAUGUCUCUAAUUGGUCCGUUCAAUACAUAUGAAAUGUACUAACACAAGAAGUUGGAAUAUUACCAUUCCCAUAACUAAGAUCAAAUUAUAUUUAAUCUUGUGCUACAAUCAUCAAGAUGUUUGUCCUACCUCAUCUUGAUUGUGAACAUUAAUUUAUUACUUAUAAGAACCAACAAUUUUAAUCUUCCGUGCAUGAGUUAAAAUACUCCAUACACAAAAUUGUUUACUAUAUAAGCAAAGGACAUAUAUGUUAAUACAAUGAUCUAUUCAAAUAAAGAUUUUAUUAAUCUAAUAAAUAAUCUUUACAUGAGAUUAUACCUGUCAAGUGGGUGGAUCGGGUCAACCAGGAAUCGGCCCAUGAAAGUUAGCCGGGUUGUGGGUUGGUCCGGAUCCGGGCCUAGUUAAACAGGCCGGUACGAUUUCGGGUCCAACAGUAAAAAAAUUUAAAACAAACCUAACCCGUCCCUCUUAACCCAACCUGGUCCAACCCACCUAAACCCGGUCAAAACUGAUUAAAAAAGAAAAAAUUCUCCAAUAUACACUAUAUAGACCCACCUAUAUACAUUUUAAAUACGUUAAACAAUAUAUAUACACUAUAUAUAUAGUAUAUACUACGUUAGGAUUUAAAAAAAUACAUACACAAUUACACAUGUAAUUGUGUAUACGACUAUACGUUAGUUAAAUAUAUAUAUACAUUACUCUAAAUAAAACAUAUUAUACAAGAUAUAUACUACAAAAACAUAUACACAUGCAUACGUUAAAUAUAUACGUCUAUAGAAGAUAUAUACACAUAUAUACCUACCAUUCAAUAUAUAUGUACUACUUUAAAUAAAAUCUACUACAAUAUAUACACACACACUAUAUAUAUAGUUAUACACUAAUUUAUAAAACAUAUACACAUGCAUACGUUAAAUAUAUACGUCUAUAGAAGAUAUAUACACAUAUAUACCUACCAUUCAAUAUAUAUGUACUACUUUAAAUAAAAUCUACUACAAUAUAUACACACACACUAUAUAUAUAGUUAUACACUAAUUUAUAAAACAUAUACACAUGCAUACGUUAAAUAUAUACGUCUAUAGAAGAUAUAUACACAUAUAUACCUACCAUUCAAUAUAUAUGUACUACUUUAAAUAAAAUCUACUACAAUAUAUACACACACACUAUAUAUAUAGUUAUACACUAAUUUAUAAAACAUAUACACAUGCAUACGUUAAAUAUAUACGUCUAUAGAAGAUAUAUACACAUAUAUACCUACCAUUCAAUAUAUAUGUACUACUUUAAAUAAAAUCUACUACAAUAUAUACACACACACUAUAUAUAUAGUUAUACACUAAUUUAUAAAACAAAUACGCAUGUAUACGUUAAAUAUAUUCGUCUAUAGAAGAUAUAUACUCAUAUAUACGCACCAUUCAAUAUAUAUCUACUACUUUAAAUAAAAUAUACUACAGUAUAUAUAUACUACAAUAUAUACACACACACUAUAUAUAUAGUUAUACACUAAUUUAUAAAACAAAUACGCAUGUAUACGUUAAAUAUAUUCGUCUAUAGAAGAUAUAUACACAUAUAUAUCUACCAUUCAAUAUAUAUGUAUUACUUUAAAUAAAAUCUACUACAAUAUAUACACACACACUAUAUAUAUAGUUAUACACUAAUUUAUAAAACAAAUACGCAUGUAUACGUUAAAUAUAUUCGUCUAUAGAAGAUAUAUACACAUAUAUAUCUACCAUUCAAUAUAUAUGUAUUACUUUAAAUAAAAUCUACUACAAUAUAUACACACACACUAUAUAUAUAGUUAUACACUAAUUUAUAAAACACAUACACAUGUAUAUAUUAAAUAUAUACGUCUAUAGAAAAUAUAUACACAUAUAUAUGUAUCAUUCAAUAUAUACGUACUACUUUAAAUAAAAUAUACUACAAUAUAUAUAUAUAUACACACACGAUAUAUAUAGUUAUAUAUUAAUUUAUAAAAUAUUUCCACAUGUAUACGUUAAAUAUAUACGUUUAUAGAAGAUAUACACACAUAUAUAUACGUACCAUUCAAUAUAUAUAUACUACUUUAAAUAAAAUAUAAUAUAUACUACAAUAUACACACACACACUAUGUAUAGUUAUACACUAAUUUAUAAAACAUAUACACAUGUAUACAUUAAAUAUAUACGUCUAUAGAAGAUAUAUACACAUAUAUACGUACUAUUCAAUAUAUAAGUACUACUUUAAAUAAAAUAUACUACAAUAUAUACACACUAUAUAUAUAGUUAUAUACUAAUUUAUAAAAUAUAUACACAUGUAUAUGUUAAAUAUAUACCACUUUAGAAAAUGUACACACAUAUAUACGUACCAUUCAAUAUACUAGUUUAGCCGCACGUAUCUUGCACGUGUGACUUUUGAUUAUUACAAAAAAUUCAAAACAUUAUUACAAAAAAUUCAAAACAUAUAUUUUAUUGUAAGCACAUAUAUAUUUUACCACCGAAAGUUUCAAGUGGUUAAUAGAUUUAGUAUGCUGUAGAUGUAGAUGUAGAUUCAUAGACUUUUGAAAUCUUUUUAAAAUCAAAUUUAGUUGAUUUAAAAUUCUCAAACUAAUGAAAAUAAUAUUAGUUGUUAUUAAUUCUGAUGACUUUUAAUAAGUAAAGGUUUUAUCAUAAAUAAAUUUAAUUAAUUUUCGACUCUUAAAUAUUAAAAAAAUACAGUGAAAAGAUAAUUUUAUCUAAAGAAAAGACAGUUAAUAAAGCACAAAAAGUUCAAACGAUAUUUUUAAGGUCUUUCACACCACGUGCAUUACACGUGUGUCUUUUGUUAAUCAAUAAAAGUAUAGUUUAGAGUAUGUGCGUUGCACUUGUGUAUCAAGACAAGUAAUAACUUUUAUAAAAACUGUUGAAACAAAUUAACACAACAGUAUUUAUUAUGCAACUACGAACAAAGAAAAUAAAGACAAACAAAGUGUUAAAUGGUGGAAAUCCUUUGAGGAACCAACCAUAUUGGCAGAGUCUAUUCCCAGGAUUUUUGACUUUGAUAUAUGCUUUAGCUGAUUAUUUAAAAAAAAAAACUUCGAGAAUCAAUUGUUAAAGAAGUUGUGUAGUAGUGGUGAGCAACAAUAAGUUCAUAUGUAAGCCUUAAAAUUUUAAAUUCUCAAAAUAUUAAAAUAUGACCAAUUAAAAAGAUUGUAAUCACAAUAGCUAUGAGAAACUAAUCAAAAUUGAAAAUGAAAAAGAUUUUUCAUGAGCUACGAUAUAUUGAAGAAACGAACGUACCCAUUAAAUAUUUGUUGUUUGACUAAAAUCUUCACCGGCAAUUGCAUUACAAAGAUUUCUAGCCCUAAGGUACAUAAGCUUAUACAAUCCAUCAAGAUAGGGAAAAAACAACCUAAGUAUUUUUUGUCUCUAUUAAAAUUUGAUCAUGAUAUGAAAUCAACUAUACUGAUAACAAUUUCUUUCAAGUAAAAGUACUCUAUAAGGACUGAUCUUUUUGAAAAUUUAAAACUAGUAAAAGAUGGUCUGGAUGAAGCCAAAACAUUAAACUUGUUGCAUAUGUAGUUUAUCAAAAGAAGAAAGUAAAAAAUAAAUUUAAAUUACUCCUGACACUAAUUAAAACUUAAAGUAAAAACAAAGAAUCUAAAUAAAAAAUACCUUAAGAAUCUUCAGUAAAUCAGAGAAGACUUCAGUAAAUCUAAAAACACAACCAAAUCACAUUAUAAAGUGGUGUUGGUGUUUAUUUGGAACUUCUACCUUGUGUUAAUUAUUGUGGACAAGUAAAAACGAGAUAUUCCAAAUUUACACACACCUUCAAAUCCUGACAUAAGAGAUAUUAACGUGUUCUUAUUUUUCAACCUUUUGUCAUGAGCAUUAAUUAUAUUUUCCUUUAUUGUCCAAAUAAUUGUUACCAUAUAUAUUUCUAUUACCAUAUAUCACUUUUUUAAAUAUAUUUUUUCUCUUUUCCUCUUAACAUCUAUUUUAAGAAAAAAGAAAAUCUAUCAAUAUUAAUUUACCAUAUAUUUUCUCUUAUCAUAUAUUUUAGGACACUUUAAUUUUUAAAUAAUUAAUUAAUUAUUAAAAGAAAAAAGGUGAAAAGACGAUUUUGUUUAAAGCACAGACUUUUAAUGAAGGGUAAAAAGUUCAAGUCACUUUUUUUAAGAGUCUUCACACUUUUAAUAUACUAUAGAUACGUACUACUUUAAAUAAAAUAUACUACAAAAUAUAUAUACACACACUAUAUAUAUAGUUAUACACUAAUUUAUAAAACAUAUACACUGUAUACAUUAAACAUAUACGUCUAUAAAAGAUAUAUAGACAUAUAUACGUACCAUUCAAUAUAUCCGUACUACUUUAAAUAAAAUAUACUACAACAUAUAUAUACACACACUAUAAAUAUAGUUAUACACUAAUUUAUAAAACAUAUACACAUGUAAACGUUAAAUAUAUACGUCUAUAGAAGAGAUAUACACAUGUAUACGUACCAUUCAAUAUAUAUAUACUACUUUAAAUAAAAUAUACUACAAUAUAUAUACUACAAUAUAUACACACACUAUAUAUAUAGUUAUACACUAAUUUAUAAAACAUAUACACAUGUAUACGUUAAAUAUAUACGUCCAUAAAAGAUAUAUACACAUGUAUACGUACCAUUCAAUAUAUAUGUACUACAUUAAAUAAAAUAUACUACAAUAUAUACAUACACUAUAUAGUUAUACACUAAUUUAUAAAACAUAUACCAUGUAUACGUUAAAUAUAUACGUCUAUAGAAGAUAUAUACACAUAUACACGUACCAUUCAAUAUAUAGGUACUACUUUAAAUAAAAUAUACUACCAUAUACACACACACACUAAAAUAGUUAUAUACUAACUUAUAAAACAUAUACACGUGUAUACGUUAAAUAUAUACGUCUAUUGAAGAUAUAUACACAUUUAUACGUACCAUUCAAUAGAUGUACUACUUUAAAUAAAACAUAUACUACAAUAUAUAUAUACUACAAUACACACACACACACACUAAAUAUAUAGUUAUAUACUAGUUUCUAAAAUAUGUACACAUGUAUACGUUAAAUAUAUACUGCUUUAGAAGAUAUAUACACAUAUAUACGUACCAUUCAAUAUAUACGUUCUACUUUAAAUAAAAUAUACUACAAUAUAUAUACUACAAUAUAUACACACACUAAAUAUAUAGUUAUAUAUUAAUUUAUAAAACAUAUACACAUGUAUACGUUAAAUAUAUACUACUUUAGAAAAUAUACACACAUAUAUACGUACCAUUCAAUAUAUACGUACUACUUUAAAUAAAAUAUACUACAAUAUUUAUACUACAAUAUAUACACACACUAAAUAUAUAGUUAUGUACUAAUUUAUAAAACAUAUACACAUGUAUACGUCGAAUAUAUACUACUUUAGAAAACAUACACACAUAUAUAUACCAUUCAACAUAUAUGUACUACUUUAAAUAAAAUAUACUACAAUUAUAUACUAUAAUAUAUAUACACACACUAAAUAUAUAGUUUUAUGCUAAUUUAUAAAACAUAUACAUAUGUAUACAUUAAAUACAUACGUCUAUAAAAGAUAUAUACACAUAGAUACGUAUCAUUCAAUAUAUGUACUACUUUAAAUAAAACAUAUACUGUAAUAUAUAUUUAUACUACAAUAUAUAUACUCACACUAAAUAUAUAGUUAUGUACUAAUUUCUAAAACAUACACACAUGUAUACGUUAAAUAUAUACUACUUUAAAAAAUAUACACACAUAUAUACGUACCAUUCAAUAUGUACGUAAUAUAUACUACUUUAAAAAAUAUACACACAUAUAUAUGUAUCAUUCAAUAUAUACGUACACAUAUAAAACAUAUGUACUUCUUUAAAUAAAACAUAUGCUACUUAAUAUAAUAAAUUAAUAAUACUUUAUAGUAAAUUAGUCCGUAUGUUAAUUUUAAAAAAAAAGUAAAAAAAUAAAUCGGGCCGGUUAAUCGGUGGGCCUGGACUGGACUUGAUUUGGGUCUGAUUAAUCGGGCUCAAAAUCAAAAAUAAAUUGGAUCGGGACCCGAUACCCUACAGUCUUUGGGCUGAUCGGGCCGAGUCAAAUCGGGCCGAAUUGACUAGGUAGGCUGGGUCGGGCUGGGUCAGUCCGGUCCGUUUGACACCCUUACAUGAGAUAAAAAUAUAAUACUAUAACACAAAUUACAUGAUUAAUAGUAUAUCAUAACUAUAACAUAAAUUACAUGAUUAAUAGUAUAUCCUAACCAUAUGCAUGUCCGUUAUGAAGUAUUUUAACAUGUUAAUUGCCACCGGUGAUAAUUCAGCUCCUGCUUGUAUCUCUUUUUUUAAUUUAAAGUAACCAGUACUUUGUCAAGACCUCUUAAUCUUAAAAACUAUUAACUUGCUCAUAUAAGUUGACUAAAAUAAGAUAUUUGAAUUAUAAUUAUUAUAAUGAUAAAAUGGAAUGUAUUUUGUAAUUGUGUGUAUAUAUAUAGUUUACGGAAGAUUCAUAUAUGUUCUUAAAGUAUUCAAAAUUGAGUGUAUAUGUCACUCGUUAGUAGUGCAACUCACAUAUGACUUGAUUGUUCAAUAAUUGAUCAAAAUAUGCUUUUAAUUUAAGGUGAAGCUCCUAAUUAAUUUAAUCAGCAGAUUAAUAAAAAUAAUGCUAAAUAUACUCCAUGGAGUCUUUUUGAUAGUUGGUCCAAGUUAUACAAAUACUAGGGAUAAUGUCUGCGCUUUGCGCGGUGCAUUAUUGUUAAAAGUAUAAACUCUAAAUACAAUGGUAAGAUUUCACUAUUAAAAUAGAGGGUAGAUUAAUUGUAGUAUUACUUAUUAUUAUAUCUUCUUGGAAAAAUGAAAAUAUAUAGACAUACAUUUUUUAUAAAAGAUUUUCACUUUUAGUUAUAAUGUGUGCAUGUUUUAAUAGUAUUAGAUUUUCUUUUGAUUUUUUAUGCGUUGUUCUGUAUCCGUAUUAAAAUUCGAUUAAUUCAAAUUUUGAUGUUUAAUAGGACCUAUUACUAAUGUCAUGGAUUUUGAGGUAUUAAUAAUACCCACCUCAAUACACAAUAGAGUGCAUUAAUUAUACAUAGGGUAAAAAGGUAUACCAAACAAGGUAAUACUAAUACACAUUAAACUAACGCAUGCAUUAAUAUUUUAAUACAUUCUACCAAACGAUCCCUAACAGUGUUUAUGCGUGCCUCCCAUUUUCUUGAGCUUCUUUCUCUUUUAUAAAAGACAAAACCUUUGAUUUCAUACAGCUAUAACACAAUCCUUCUUAUCUGUUGCUCUCCAUAUCUGAAAAAGCUACAACAAUUUAUUUUUUUUAAUUCCGUUUCUGAUAAGCCAAUACUUUUUGGGCUAAUCUUCAGGCAAGGUAAAAUGUGAAAUUGGUAGAAUCAUAUGUAACGAAAAGCAUAGACUUCAAAAAUGUAGCAAAAGGAUUCAGUGACUCUUGAGUUAUCACACAUCAAAUGCACUAAUAUAAGAAUUGAAAAUUAGUGAGUAAGAAUCUUACUAUUGCAGUAUAAUCUGGUGCUAUCAACGAUAUCAUAAUAGUAUUUAGAAAAUGCAUUUGCAGAUCUCUUGUGAGAUUUCGGGUGCUCCGUUUCUUAGAACAUUGGAUGAGAAAUCACACACAAAAAAAAAGUAAUUAUAAUGAAUAUUAUGAAAAAGAGAUUUGGAAUAGUAAAGGAUGAAUAUUAUGGAGUACAAAUGAUUUUGUUUAAUAUUUAUACCAACCGACGAAUUAGUAACUUAACAUGAAAUAAUACCAACAUAUUUGAGUAAUUAAAAAUGAAUGAAUGAAUGAGUAUUAAGUGUAUUAAUUAUAUCUGUUCAGCUUUUUAACGUAACAGACAUAAGUUAGCAAAACGUGGGCUGGUUCAAAUUUUAAUUGGGUUUUACUGCAUUUGAUGGCUACGUUUUAGUGGGUUUUAUGAAGUAUUUAUUAUUAUUAAAUCCUUUAAUUAGUAGCAGAAUGAACCAAAAAGUUGCAAAAAAAAAAAAAGGAAAAAUGCCAAAAAAAAGGAGAUAAAAGUUAAAUGCAAAUGAUGGUCAUUGAAAGGUGUCACAUCACCUUCUUUAUUAGAUUCCUUUAUAUUAUAUAUAGAUUAGUAAUAUAUGAAUUGAUCACGACAAAAAUUGUGUAUUAUUUAUAUAAAAUUUUAAAUAUAUACUUCCUCUGUUUUGGAAUAAGUGAAUUAUUGGGGUAUUUAUUAGUAUUUCAAAAUAAAUGAAUCAUUGAAUUAUUUUUCAAAUUUAUCCUUAUGAUUUGACAAUCAAUUAAUUUUAAAAAAAAUAUUAAAAGGUCAGUUUUUUCCUUUUUGAGAACAAAAAUGAAAAAUUGUGUUAAAUUUAUAUCUUUAAUAUUUUUUUCUUAAAUUAUGUAUCAAAAUUUAAUAAUUCAUUUAUUAUGAAACGAAGAAAAUAUUCACAAACUCAUCACCAAAUAGAUUGCGGAACAAUGCUUCGAAGUAUCUACAACUAAGUACAAAUGUCUUUAAUAUAUUACUGUAGUAGUUUAAUUAACAAGUAGGAAAAGGUUAGUUGGUCACAUCAGGUGAAUGCACGCAACAUAAAUAAAUAAAUAAAUAUAAAGAGAGAAAGAAAAAAAUAGACAAGAGCCUGCUAUUUCUGUUUCCCAUCCACCUGCUUUUCUGACACUUCUCUCUUCUGUUUCCAUCAAUUAAUAUCUCCACUCAUUCCCAUCUUUCCUCUUGCUUCCUUACCCCCUGUCUAAUUUUAAUGUGUGACAGUAGGUCGAACAAGUACUAGAGACAUAACUCAGUUUUACUUAAUCAUGGGCGCAUGAUUUAAAAUAGGAUAAUUUGGGGAGCGAAGAUUGGGAGAGGAGGUUAGUAGUUGGUCGAGCGUUAUUUGUCUUUUCGAAAGGUUAGGCGUGGAAUAGUCUAGAGUAUUAAUAUAUCAAUAUAUUUUCUCUGUUCAAUGAUAAGUGAAUUGUUGAAGUAUUUUCUCUUUUAUCAGUUUUUUUUUUUUUUCGAAUACUUUGUAUUAGUGGCCGUAAAUAGUCUUCUGAUAUGUCGCAUAUGCACACGUUAAAUAUCUGACUGACUCGUGAAUCAUGAUAAUGAGUCAUAUGAAACUUAAUUAGUUGGAGGAGGAGAUGCAUUGCAUUGUUGGAUGUGUGAAGAAAAUUCGAUAUUGAUAGUUGAAAUAGGAAGCUCUUUUAAACAUAACGGUGAGGACUUUAAUCCAAAAUGGAUAAUCAUUAAUAUAUCACUGUUUUUAGAAUAGUCUUGAAAUGUUUUGAGCUCCAUUUUAUGACUAUUGACCUUUACACUAGUUUUUCUUUUAAAAUUUAAAUUACGUUUCCUUUAGUGUUUCUUAGGGGUGUCAAGCGGGGCGGGGCGGGGCGGGGCGGGCCGGGUAACUAACCCGGUUCGAUUUGAAUCGGUCCGGUAAUUUCUAGAGCUUUAGGGUUUUGGGUUUUGGAUCGGUUAUUUUUUAAAAGGAGCCCAACUAACCCGGCUCGGAUCAAGCCCGGUCCAGAUCCACCGGUUAACCGAUCCGGUCCGGCCCGGAUACCUUUUUAAAAAGAGGAUUUUGAACCAAACUAGCCGUUGGCCCAACGGCUAUAUAGCCAUUUUUGGGUCCAAACGGCUAGUUUGGGCCCAUUUAUUAAAAAGAAAAAAAAACUUUAAAAAAUACUUUUUAAUCCCAAAAUAAAUUCUAUAAAUACCCUACAACUUCAAAUCAUUUUUCACACAAUUUUUCACUCUCAAAUCUCAAUUCUCAAAUAUUCAAUAUAUUUAAUUUCUUAAAGUGUUCACUUUAAAUUUUUAAUUUUUCAUUUGCAAAGUACGAGCGGAAAUUUCUAAAGUCGCAACCUUCGGAUACUUCCAAAAUUUGGUAUCGUCGUUCCAUCCCUUACGUUUAAUUUUUAUUUAUUGUAUUAAUUGUUUAAUAUUUAAUUUUACUAUAUUUGUGUAUUUUGAAUAUUUUUAGUUUAAUUUAAUUUAUAUUAUGGAUAAAUUAAGAAACUUCGCUACUAAAGGUGUUAAAAAAUCUUGUCCCGAAAGGGGUAGUGGUAGUAAAAAGCGAAUUACUAGCGGUAGAGGUAGUUCAAGUAGUAGAUAUACCCGUGUGCCUUCGCCUCCGGUAUCGCUUGGUACACCUUUUGAGGAAUAAAUAGGUGUAGGUGCUCACGAUAUGGAUUAUGUAGAAGCUCAGGAAAAUUACGGUAUAGAAGAAGAAAAUGAAGUAGAUGCGGUUAAUUUAGACGAAGAUAAUGAAAAUAUUNNNNNNNNNNNNNNNNNNNNNNNNNNNNNNNNNNNNNNNNNNNNNNNNNNNNNNNNNNNNNNNNNNNNNNNNNNNNNNNNNNNNNNNNNNNNNNNNNNNNNNNNNNNNNNNNNNNNNNNNNNNNNNNNNNNNNNNNNNNNNNNNNNNNNNNNNNNNNNNNNNNNNNNNNNNNNNNNNNNNNNNNNNNNNNNNNNNNNNNNNNNNNNNNNNNNNNNNNNNNNNNNNNNNNNNNNNNNNNNNNNNNNNNNNNNNNNNNNNNNNNNNNNNNNNNNNNNNNNNNNNCUUGACUUUUUUGAGCUUUAUAUUGAAAAAAUUCGUCUUGCCGUUGGUUUUAUUCAAGGAAAUAAUCGUAGAUCGAGAAUUAGAGAAUUUAAAGUUAAAUGUCAAGAAAAUGAACUUACAACAAUUUUGAUGCCUGAGGAAAUUGAUAAUAGCUAAGUAGCAUAUGUUUUGUAUAUUUGUACAUAUAUCUUCUAAAGAAGUGUAUAUUUAACGUAUACAUGGGUAUAUGUUUUAUAAAUUAGUAUAUAAGUAUAUCUAUAUAUAUUGUAAUGUAUAUAUAAUGUAGUAUAUUUUAUAAGUAGUAGUAUAUAUACAUUGAAUGGUGCGUAUACACAUGUAUAUAUCUUUUAUUGAAGUGUAUAUUUAACGUAUACAUGGUAUAUGUUUUAUAAAUUAGUAUAUAAAGUAUAUCUAUAUAUAUUGUAAUGUAUAUAUAUUGUAGUAUAUUUUAUAAGUAGUAGUAUAUAUACAUUGAAUAGUGCGUAUACACAUGUANNNNNNNNNNNNNNNNNNNNNNNNNNNNNNNNNNNNNNNNNNNNNNNNUGUAUAUUUAACGUAUACAUGUGUAUAUGUUUUAUGAAUUAGUAUAUAAUUAUAUCUAUAUAUAUUGUUAUGUAUAUAUAUUGUAGUAUAUUUUAUAAGUAGUAGUAUAUAUACAUUGAAUGGGGCGUAUAUAUGAGUAAUUGACUAAUUGUGUAUAUGUGUAUAUAUAUUUUAAAUUCUAAUGUAGUAUAUACUAUAUAUAUAGUGUAUAUAUAUUAUUUAACGUAUUUAUAAUGUAUAUAGGUGGGUAUAUGUAAUGUAUAUUGAAAGAAUUUUUUUUUGACCGGGUUUGACCUAUUUUUUAACCCAAUUUGAUCGGGUUUUGGUGGGUUUGACCGAGUUGGGUUAAGUGGGCCAGGUUAGGGUGGAUUUUAAUUUUUUUAUUGUUUGGCACGGCCCGGCGCGGCCCGACCCGUCUAGCCAAAACCGACCCUCAACCCGGUUAAAAUAGAAGGGCCGAUUCCAAAUUAGCCCGGCCCGACCCGUUUGACACCCAUAGUGUUUCUUUUAGUUUUAGCACUUACGUUAUGUGUACUUUCCUGUUUGAAGCUCUCGUCAAUCCAGAUUUAACGUAGUGUUUCACUUAUUCCCUUUCUAAUGACAGAUUCAAAAUUUUUAUUUAGGGUGUUAGAGAUAUAAAGAAGUAAACAUAAAAUUUAAUCGAUGAGGUUUUUUUUAGGGUUUUUGUUCUGGUUUUCUUACUAUAUUUAAGUUUUACUUUUUCUUAGAAGGAAAAUAAAAGUUACCAUAAUUACUCUUAUUUUUUCUGAAAGAAAAAAUAUAAUUCUUUUCCAUAUUUGGCUAACCUCUUUAUUGGAGGAAAAGUUUUGGACAUCUAUAAAUAGAAGACCGCUUCUCAUACCAUAACAUAGUAGCAUGCACAAUGUAGUCGUUAAAAGAGUUUGGUUUAGAGAUUUCUCCCAUAGGUUUAUGUUUUUACUAUUAGUUUUUAUAUGUAGGUCGUUUGGCCAAACCAUAUUAAUAGUAUAUUUUUUGUAGCCUAAUUUAUCAUCUUAUGAUUUGCAAAGUAAAAGCUUUCGCAUGACUUCCUCUCGAUUUCGAACCCAACAGGUUUGACUUAUAUUAUGCAUACAUAAAAAAGAAUAUUUCAAUCAUACAUAUAUAGUAUACUUUUUGCCGACUAUUCGAAUUAAAUCUGACCCCAAGCUAGCUCCCUUCUUAUCCCCUGCCCUCUUGUUUAGUUAAGUCUUUAUUUUUAUUUAAUAUUAAUUUCAUAUUCUCCCUACUCCUAUUUUAUUUUGUUAGUGUAUUGAUAUUAUUGGAUAAGAUAUAGUACUGUAGUAUAUUUUUGUGGAAAACUUACACGUAAAUAUACCGUUUAAAUCAUCGUUUUAAUUAGCCAAACAAAUCUGAUCCAAAAUAAGCAACGGUCUACCAAAUCGAGAAAGUAUUAAUUUUUUGAAAGUCUUGCUCUGCAUAUUUCUGGUUAAUUUUCUUGUUUCCAAGUGAAAGUAUGAUUAAGUAACACCUAGAGAAAUAUUUAACGUUACGAAAUACGAGACAACAGAGAAAAAAUGGCACACUUGCCAAUUGCUAUUAUCAUGACAUUCAUAUGGAAGCUUGAAAAUAAUACAUAGUUUUAUUAGCCCAAAGCUUAUCAUCUUAAUCUCUGAUAAAUAACACCUAGAGAAACAUUUAACAUUACGAAGCUCAGGAAUAUCUUGAUAAUUGUGAUUUAUUAAUUUAAUUAAGUUGAAAGAACUUGUCAUUUUCUUAUCUUUAAUUAUUCAAGUUUAAUAUGCAAAGUGCAUGGAAACAGGAGAAAAGUUCAAAACAAACUAAAGGGCUCUCUCAUUUUCACUUGCAAUAUAAAGUAUAAAGCUUACGUAUUAUAGCUUUUUAAACAAUUUUUCAACAUACUACUAUACUUCGGUAGAGAAAUUAGAAAUUUCGUUAAGAGUGUUCAACUGACCGUCCUUUGAUCUACGUACCUAUGUCAUUGCUAUCGUUGAGUCGAUAAUUACCUCACCGCCUUUGAUGCGUUUAUUUUAAAUUUCACAAAUGAUUCAUGAAUGUCUACCAAAACAUCAUCUAAGUAAAUUAAAAAUGGUAUGACGUUAAAGAAGAAAAACAAAAACGUAAAGAAUUUUCAAUCAAGAACAGAGAAUAUAUAAGGAAUAAUAUAUAUAAGGAAUAAUUCGAUUUACACAAGUUGUAAUGAAACCUCUUCGUAGAAAAUCCAACAACAGAAAUAAGUAAUCCUUUUGUGAAAAUUCUAACUUUACCACGUAUAAAAAUAGUAGGUUUAUCGGUGUAAAUUGUGUAAAGAUAGCAAGCAUGAACGAAUUGUAUUAUUUCUGAGAUAUACAAGUAACAAGUAAACUACCAAGGUGUAAAUGGUGUAAAGAUAGCAAGCAUGAACGAAAUGUAUUAUUUCUGAGAUAUACAAGUAACAAGUAAACUACCAACCAAAUGAUCUGGUGUAAUGGAUGAGACUGCCCCUCACUUAAUCAGAGGUUUCGGAUUCGAGCCCUGGUUAUGAAAAAAUCCUUGGUAGGGAGCGCUACUCCAGAAUGGGGCCCUAUCCAGUGUGAAUUUGGAUUAGUCAAACUCCAAUGUGGGUACCGAACAGAGAAAAAAAUUUAAACUAGACAUGCAUAGUGUGAAAGUUAUUUAUUUAUUUAUUUUGCAAAAUUAAAAUUGACAUAUUCUUCCAUCUGACUAAACCUUAGCAACUGCUUAUGAAAAUUAGACAAACUCUGAUAUUUUGGCUGAAAUAGAACUUGCAGUUGUCAGCCAGCAUUUCUACUAUAGUAGUAGAAUUUUUUUACAGUAAUUUAUUUAUUUUUCUGUUUCACAUUCUCUCAUGCUUCAAUUUUUUUGACUCAUUAGCCAAAAAAAUAUUUGUUGAGCCCCAAAGAGAACUGAACCUCGAAAUUCUAGUAAUUUAGUCAUAAGUGUAGGUGUUUGCUGGGUUUUGUUUUUAGGGUUCAGUUUCCAAUAAAAACUUACAGCUACAGACAGAGAGCCUGCAGAACCUUACAACCUAUACAUUUUUUUAAUGUAUUCUUUUUUGUCUGUCAUGUUGUUUUCUUUUUCCUCUCAACUGUCUUGUCUCUGAAACUCUCUUUUUUUAUCUCGAGUGCCCUACUAUGCUUACCUAAAAGUCUUCUCCGUUUUAUUUACUCCCACCGUUCGAAAAACAGUAGCAAUUUAAACUUUUUAACUUAAUUUUAAAAGAUAUUUCUUACAUUUUUUUAUUAAUAUUAUAAUUCUAAGUUUAUUUAUAACAUAUUUAAGAUAAUAGAAUUAAAAAAUAUUUUAAUAUACUUGAUAUAACUUAAAUUUAAGAUACUACUCCUAUAACUUAUCUCACCAUAUUCUUUGAAUUUGCUAAAGAAGAAAAACAUUUCCUAUCAACGUCAGACUAUAUAUCUAUUCUUGAAUAUAAUGCAAAUUCAAUUGCAGGGAAAUUUUAUUUUUUAAGUUGUGUCUAAGUACAUUUAAUUAUGAGCAUUAUGAAUGCAUUUAGUAGGAAGGUAAAGCAAAAAAUUCUUUUUAUGUGUGGUUGGAUGAAUUUUAAAAAAAAUAUUUUUCUCUAAAAAAGAUAAAUUUUUUUUGAAAAUGAGAAAAAUGACCUUCUUAAUGAUAAUAGAGAAAGUUUCACAAGAUAUACUUUGUAUUUAUUAUAUCCUUCCACACAUUUUAUGCCUGCAAUCACUACGGCCUGACCUCCACCUCGAGACCCCACACACUACCUUUAAAUAUUUUUGAGAUAAUAUUUCUUUAGCUUACUUAUCAAACGUUAAAAAAUUAACAAGUAAAAAGAUAAUUAAUUUUUCAAGAAAAACAUUUUCGUUCAAAAAUAUUAUCCUGCAUACCGUUCACAUCCUAUCUCUUUUAAAGAAAUAUAAUCAAAACACAAUUAAAAUUUCAUAAUUUUCAAAAAAGUGAAAAAUAUUUAAAAGCUAUCGCCAAAUACAUACCACUACCAUUCGUUACAGACUUACAAUUUUUUGUUUGUAUAUCCUUUACAUUAUUUUCCUGUUAAAUGUAAUAUUUUUCUAUAUUAUCGUAAUUUUUUUUGUUAAUUACUAUUUUGCUUUAUUUCACUUGAGACAAGUAUUUUUUAAAAAUAGCCUUUAUAUAUUUAAAAGAGAGAAAAUAAGGGCAUAACCACCCUUCAAAUUUACCCUCAAAAUAUCGAAAAUCGCUAUAUUUGAAGAACACUAACCUUCAAUCCACAACUCUAUUUUACAUCUCUAAAAAAGAAUCUUCUAUUCUUUCUCUAAAAUUUUAUUAUUAUUUUUAUUUUAUCUAUAUUUUUUUUAUUUCAAAAAUAAAUUCUUUUAUUUUUUAUUACAUAAUCACCUUUAAAAUGCAUGAUCUUUUCAAAAUCUUCAUGUAAUACAAAAUUAUUUUUUUUCAAAUUUUUUAAAGAACAUAAAUCGCAAGCAAUUAUUAUAUAUUAUUCAUAUUAAUAAACAACGUAAAUAAAAAUGAAAUCCUUGAUGAAAUACAAUUAAAAAUAUAUUAGAUUAUGAUAAAAUUUAUUUUAAUUUCUACAUAAGUAAUUUAAUUUUCAAGAUUAUUAUGUUGUUCCCAAAAAUCUUCUAUUAAUGCAUUACAAAAUUCACAAUGAGCAUUUUUGUUCUUAAUUUUUCUUUUAUGUCUAGCUAAGGUUUGUUCAAAUUUUAAAAAUAAAAAAAUAUUAACAUAGUAAAAGUCUUUCAUUAGAAAAAUAAUUACGAAUAUUAGAGACUUAAUUAAUGAUCUUAUAUGAUUUAUAAUUUAAAAUGUUAUAAUAUACGCAAUAUAAUACUAAUUAAAAUUAAAAAAAAGGGAACACUAUUCACCACUUCAAAAUAAAGGGUGGUCGGAGAUGGUCAUCCUCUAAAUUUCCCUUCAAAUGUAGAAUUUAGAUAGUACUAUUUGAUGGGUAGUUUGAGAUGGUGUGAUUAUGUUGUUGUUGAAAUGUUUAGGGGUUAUUUGAUACGGUGCAUAAGAAUAGUAUAAAGUAUUAUUCUCUUCAUUUUUAAAAAAUAAUUUAUUUUUUUUAAGCCGUUUUAAAAAGAAUAACUCUUUUUACUUUUGAGCAAUAAUUCAAUUUCAAUUUUUCAAAUGACAUGUUUAGGACCACAAUAUUAAAGGAUAUUUUGGUACAUUUGAUAUAACUUUAAUUUAAAGCCACAAAAUUCAACAGUCUUCUCUAUUUUCUUAAACUUUGUGUCAAGUUAAAGUAGAUCAUUCUUUUUAAAACGGAUGAGUAUAUAUUAAUAAUAAUACAUUAAUAAUGCUUGUAUUAGUUAUGUUUGCAUUGGUUAUGUUUAUAUUUUUUUUUGUACAACGUUUGAUUCGAUAUAUUAAAAAUAACACGAAUUGCAUAAUUUUUAAUUUUUUUCACAAAAAUACCACUUAUAAAUAUGAUAGAAAAGAUGUGAAACUGAUUUUGAGGGAUAAUUAUUAUUUUAACUAUGCCAAUACAAGCAUUAAAAUUCAUUACAUUACUAAUAUCAUAAAUUUCUAUGUGUUAGUAAUACACUCCUUAAUAAUAAAUAGAAUGUAUAACUAAUACAAAUACUAAGAAAUCAUUUGAUUGAGUGUAUUAAAAAAAAUAAUGCAAGUAUUAUUUUUGUGUACUACUAAUACAUUAUUUGAUACACUUUUUCAUCCUAUGUAUUACUAAUGGUUGUAUUAAUUAUACGCUGCAUUUGAUAUUAAGGAGGGCAUUACUAUUACAUUAAAAAUUCAUGGUGUUAGUAAUGCAAUGGAUUCUAAUGUAAAGGGUGUUAGUAAUGCAAUAGAUUCUAAUGCAUACAUUAGUAUGCUUAAAGACGCAAUUAUUACUCGAAAACUUUUAUACAUCUUUUCCAUUCUAUUUAUGGAGGAAUUUCUUGUGAUUUUUUUUGUUAUUAGAAAUUUUUUAAUAGGUAUUAUUUUUAAUAUACCAAAUCAAACACUGUAUAAAAAACUGCAAGCAUAACUAAUACAAACACAUAACUAAUGCAAAUAUCACCGAUACAAACAUUAGUAAUAUCAUAUUUUACAUCAUUCUUAUAAACUCUACCAAACAACUUCUAAUAAUACAUGAGAUAAAAAGAUAGUAUAUCAAAUGAAUAUUAAUAAUAGAUAAAGCUAAUACAAACAUUAUUUUCUUAAUACAGUGUACUAAACGAUUCCUUAGGAGUUGUUUGGUUGGAAAACAAUUAUCCUGAAAUAACUCGGAGUUAGUUAUCCACCAUGUAUAUACGAUAACUUAUCCUAUUAUUAUAAUAUAAAUAGUAGAAUAAAUAAUUUCGAUACUAACUAAUACUUCAAAUAAACAUAAGAUAAAAUAAUAUUUUAGUUUAUCACAAAACUAUUUAUCUAUUAUACCUCACACCGAAAUAGUACCUCUUAAAGACCCGUUUGGUAGGAUGGACUAUUUUUAUAAUCCAUGGAUUAAAUGGUGGGAUUAGUUAAUAUAUUGUUUGGUAGCAAUUUUGAAGCUAUGUAUAACUAAUACAUGGAUUAGUUAUACACCCUACAUGGUAUUAUAGGGUGUAUAACUAAUACACCCAAUUUGGGGGAUUAGUAAUCCAUGAAUUACAAUCCAUGGAUAAAUAUGUGUCAAGACAAAAAUGUCCCCAAAUUUCUUUAUUUUUUUUGAAAAAUCUUUUCAAUUUAUUCAAUUUGAGUUAUUUCUUUUCAAUUUAUCAAGAUAAUAAUAUCCCUUCAAAUAAUUUUAGUCAUAAAAAAACUACUCCAUUAACUUAAAAAAUACUUAUUGAUCAAAAUUCAAAAAUAAAUUGCAUACAAGUUUUAAUUUUGUAAAUAAAAUAUUUAUAAAUAAAAAUAAUUUUUCUACUUAGUUUUAACACUUUACGGAACACAAAUUUAUGUUAAUAAUAAUUCUAUUAUUUUAUUCAAAAUUUAUACGUAUCUCCCUCCAACGUAAGAACAUCAAAAAGUGAAAACAACAAAUAAAUGAUGAACAAAUAAAGAAGAGAUAAUUUUUUUUUUACAAGUGAAUGAUUGAAUCUAAAAAUUCCAAAGUAAAUAAUUAUUUAUAUUUUUACUUUUUUUUUUAUUUUAAAAAAAGAAUAAUAAAAUUUUACAAAGAAAAUACAAUAAAGUUAUAAUAUGUCAAAGAUAUUUUUAUAAACAAACAAUAUUUUUUUUAAAGUAUAAUAAUACAUAUUGUUUUUAAUACAUCAAAUCAAAUACUGCAUAAAAAAUAAUUUCAGUAUUACUAACCCCCUUAUUAUUAUCCAUGCACUAUUAAUUCUAAUAUUACUAAUAUAACCUAUUCAGUAUUAUCUUACACACUCCGCAAAACCAACCCUAAAAGUACAAUUUGGUUUGUAUUUAUUGCCUUGUUGGUGGUAAAAUAAAGGGAUGAUAAGACAGUACAAAAGACUUAACUUUGCAGGUUUCCCCGCACUCUACACACUGCAAAAACAUAUAUAUAAAAAAAAAGAAAAAGAAAGGGUCCACUAAACUCACUGCUACAAUAAGCUUUUUCAAACUCUCUUCAUACUCCCCACUACCCACCCACCCCCACGCCCACCCCCACUUAUAUGCACAUUAAUAUUCUUCUUAUCAUACUCCAACUAGCAGCAGUUCCUCUAAUACUGUAAAACCAAACUAAAAAACUAUGGACUUCAAUCUGAAGCAACAGGAUGAUGAGUCACUUACAACAACUCAUCACCAUCAUCCUGCAAAGUUACCUAAACUUGUUCGUGACUUUCAGUCUGUUGUGUCUGCUUCUACUGAUUCUGCACUUCCAUUGUUUGUCUCUCAACCAACAUCAACAACUACUACUACUAACAAAUUGUUGUCAGAUUCAACAACAACUGCCACCACCAAAUUUACCAGUAAGUUAGAUAUAGAAUUAGACGCCCUUUUCAACUUCCAUGUUCAGAUUUUUAGUUGUUGAACAUACUAAUGAUUCUCUUUUUUUUUUUCUUCUACUUGAAUUAGACACCCUUUAAAUUUCUUGUUUUUCAUGCUCCCAAGUUCAGAUUUUUAGUUGAUUUACAUACUAAGUAUUAAAGAUUCUUUUUUUAACACUUUAUAUAUUAGACACCCUUUUUAAGUAUUUUUUUUUUAGCUUCCAAGUUCAGAUUUUGAACUGAAAAUCUUAGCAGUGCAGUCGGUUGACUAUCUGAACUUACACUUUAUUGGUGACAGUUUAGUUCUCCACUCUCUAGUUAUUUCUCUUUUCCUACCCUAUAAAAAGUACAGAUUUUGAGUGGUUCUACAUAUUUAAGAUUCUUUUUUUUAUUGAUUUGUUGAAUUAGAUUUAGACACCCUUUUCAACUUUCUUGUUUUUCUUGCUUCUAAGUUAAGAUUUUGAGCUGAAAAUGUUAGUAGUUGAACGUUCACUUUAUUGAUGAAGAUUCAUUAACACCUUGUCGUUCCCUCCCUUUCCCUGACCCAUUAAAAUAAAUUCAGAUUUUGAGUGGUUGUACAUAUAUUAAAUUUUUUUUUUUUUUUUUUUUUUGGCUUUCUUCAAUUAGAUUCAAAUUCCUUGUUUUUCUUGAUUCCAACUUGAGAUUUUGAGUGUAAAAUUAUAGUUGUUCAGUUAUUGGUGAUGGUUCCAUUUCCCACCAUUGUAAUCUCAUUUUGAGUUGUUGUAUAUAUUAAAGAUUUAUCUUUUGUGAUUUCUGAAUUAGACACCAUUUUUUAAGUUUGUAGUUUUUCAUGCUUCCAACUUAAGAUUUUGAGUAGUUGUAUAAAGAUUCUCUCUCUUUUUGUUUCUGGUUUUCUUGAUUCAGGGAUUGGGAGUGGUUACUUCAGCUUGGCACAGUGGCAAGAACUUGAACUACAGACUCUGAUUUUUAGGCAUUUUAUAGCUGGUGUCUCUGUUCCUCCUGAACUACUUCAUCUUGUUAAGAAAAGCAUCAUCACUUCUCCUCCUUCAUAUUACUAUUCUCAUCCCUUUCAACAGUAUCCUCCUCACUACCAACAAGCCUGUAAGUUAUUUUUGGUUUCUUGUUUUAAGUUCACUCUUCAUUGUGUGCUUAGUUGUUGGAAAGUUGCUAUCUUUUUUGUUCUAGUAUUCUUUUUUAUGUCCAUAGUGGAAACCUAACAUGUUCUUUGAUUUCUGUUACUCCUUGAGCCGGAGGGUUUAUUGGAAACGACCUCUUUGUCUCCUAUGGUAGGGUUAAGGUCUGCAUACACUUUACCUCUCUAGACCCCACUUGUGAGAUUGCACGGGAUAUGUUGUCGUCUUCAUUUUUAAUCUGUGUGUGUUGACUCUUUUGCUGUUUUCUUGGUCUUUGAACUAAGAAAAAUAAAAAAAUGAAUCACAAAGUUUUGUUUUUGAUCUGCAUUUCUUAGUCAUUUGCCAAAAUUUUUAGAAGCACAUGUCAAUCACAGUAUAAUAAUAUUAUUUCCCUAUGACUUUUUGGACCAAAAAAACAAAACCAAAUGACUGUGUUAAUGUCUUGAUGUGGUUGAUAAGUACUCUUGGUUGAUUCUUACAAGCUUAGGUUAAGGAGCUUAAUUGAUACUAUGUACUUCUUCUGUAUUCCAAGAAUUUCUGACUUUUAUUUUGUUGUAUCUGAAAAAAAGCUAUAAAUGAUUUUUGAAUUAAGAAUUUAUAAAUUGUUAAUUAACCUAAAAUGUAAUACAAUUACAACAACAACUACAUCAAACCCAGUGUAUUCUCACAAAGUGAGGUCUGGGGAGGGUAAUAUGUACGCAGUCCAUACCGCUAUCUCCGAAGAAGUAGAGAGGCUGUUUCCGAUAGACCUAAAACGUUAUACAACUAACAGUCAAUAAAGAAGGCUGGUUACUUGCUACAACAUUUUAAAAUAUUGCAGAAGUUUGUGGCUAUGUUGUUCAAACCCUCGAGAAAUGAUACUACACUAGUGUCACAUCCUCAAACAAUGCGUAGUUUUUGGAGGAUUCGAUACAUGCUGGACAAAUUUCUUAAAGAAUUCAAGCAAAAUAGAAUCAUCCCUUCACCCUCGAUUAGAGAUCUUGGUUCAAGCCUUGAAAAUGAUAUAAAUCUUGUCAAACAACAUUUUCCUCUAUAAUAUGCCUUACAUGGCAUGAAUGCAUAUUAGUCGAGUCAGUGGGCUUCAUAUACCAAAUGCUUAUAUCAAGAAGGCAUGUUUAAACACACUGAUGAUGCAAAUAUUCUUUAAGUGUCUCAUGUACAUUUCAUUUAUAUUUUCUACUCGACCUCCAAGAUUAACUAAUUAACGAUAAUAUGAAAUUCUCUUGAAGUGAUGCAGUCAGGGUACUGGGGAAGAGGAGCCAUGGAUCCAGAACCAGGGAGGUGUAGGAGGACUGAUGGGAAGAAAUGGAGGUGUUCAAGGGAUGUAGUGGUUGGCCAGAAAUACUGCGAGCGCCACGUUCAUCGUGGCCGCAGCCGUUCAAGAAAGCCUGUGGAAAUUCCCACACCUGCCAACAAUGGCAGUAAAAACAACAACAAUACUGUUUUUCAUCAUCAAGCCUUUGAAAAAAUGGCUAGUCAUGCUCCUCAUUUUUCUCUAUCUGGACAUUCACCUUCAACUGAUGCAGCUCUUCAUCUCAACCAAAGGUACAUUCACCUUCCAAUGCAGAAUUUCGUAUGUUCUGAGCUUAACACGUGAUAUAAAGUUAGUUAUUUGUUGCCCCGAAGACUGUCGCCUAGUGGCCAAUUGAGUGACUUGAGAAUUAUGUGGUCUCACGAAGCAAAAAAAUUAUGUUUGCUCGGAUUCUUUAAAAAUGUCGACGGGUGUGUGUCGGAUACUCCAAAAGGAGUGCAUUUUUGGAGGAUUCGACAUGUGUGUGACGGUGUGAGUGUGACAUCAUUUUUGAACAAUCCGAGCAAUAUAAGCAAAAACACUAGGUGAAUUGUUUUCCAACCGUCUACGCCCUAUAGAAUAGAGUUAUUCAGUACUUGGUGUGUGAAGCUAGUCCGGACACUACAGUUAUUAAAAGAAAAAAAUAAGAAAAGUAGCCAGUUACUCCAUAAAAAGUAAAAUUAUUAACUUGUCACAUUACCUAUUCUACUAUGGUGUUCAUUUAUUAUAUCUGCAUUUUAAUGCUUUUCAUUUCUGCUCUUUCUUUUUUGUUUUUUUGGGAGAAGAAAAAGGCAAUAUUGGAGGUUAAGUAUCUGUUCUCUAUUUAAUAGUGAGUGAGUGGCUUUUUAAUCUAGUGAAUAUACACACUACUUUAUUUGGCCCCUUUUUUCAGAAAUCAUUAUUCUUUCUAUAAAUACUUCUUAGCACUAUAACUUAUUUUUCAGAGCAAAGUGUUUGUGCAGAUACUACUUUUUUUCACUGUUAGAAUGACAAGAAGUUCAAUUAUGCAUUAAAGUUUUGAACUUUUGCUUUUUUUUAUUAAGGGGCCAACAAAUAUCCUCCAUUGGUUCUAUUUUUUCCACUACCUCCUAAAAAGAGACAUCUUUGUGUAAGUUGAAACUUGUCUCCCAAUAGGGAGAAAAUCUAAAUUAAAUCUUGAUCAAAGGGUUACUUCUUCUCCAAAUUCCUUUUUCUUUUCUUUUUGACUUGUAGGUGUGCAUGGUCCACUUAUUGUAUUUUUCUUGGAUAUUUAGAAUCUAUUGAAGAUAUUCUCGUCCCACUUCCAUUUUCUUUGUAGGAACCCUACCUUUGAUAUUUUUGGGUUUUCUCUGGCAGGGAGCCCACUUUUUGGGAUCAUAACAGUUUGUCAGGUGAUUAAAAACUAAGUUGCUCGGACUCUCCAAAAAUGUGGCUGCACCCGUGUCGGAUCCUUAAAAAAUGCACUACUUUUGAAGGGAUCCGAUACGUACCCAAUGUCAUUUUUGAAGAGUUCGAGCAACAUAGAUUGAAAAUAAGAAUUAACUUAACUAACGUCUCACCCAACUGUUUAAACUAAAAGUAGUCAAUGAACAUACUUUAUACGCAUAAUGUAUGUAUAACAUGUAAAUAACAAUGUUUAGUCGAUGUGUAAUCUAUGUAUUGCCGGUUGGGAAAAAAAUAGAAUGAAUCUAGCUAGUUAUUUGUGUAAAAAUACCUAAAAAUAUUCACCCCCUAGUUAUGAUUAUUUGUACUAUAAUUUGUGUAUAUUCAAUGUAUAACGAGUGCUCCUCCCGUUUCAUGUUAUGUGAAGGUGUUACUGUUUGCACUUUGCAGAGUGAAAUAGUUUUUCCUAUGACUGCAACUUUUUCAACUUUUUUUAAAAAUAUUUUGGAUCGUUAACCAUUGAAUAUCUAUACCCGAAGUUAUUGUCAAGUGUUCUGAACUGUACUCUGAAUCUCUUUCACAUAAAUUGCAAUAGAAGGAUUAUAUUUGUCUGAUAACUUUAUAAUCACGGAUUAUAUUUAGAGUAUACAAUAAUCAUAUUGGCUAAAAUUUCUAAAUAUAGAAAAGAAGAUUCAACUUAAAGGCCCCUUGUGUACUAGAUGUUUUUUUACAGCUUUUUUCUUCAAUUUGUUCCCUGCUUGAUUUGGGCUGGGCUGUCAAUGAUGUUGAUUUGUAGGCCAUUGGAGUCCACCAAAAAGGGUCCACCAUUUGAAGCCCAAAAAGAUGAUGGUAAAUCAUCCAAUGGCCAAAUUCUGCGCCAUUUCUUUGAUGAUUGGCCUAGACAACUUCAAGAAGGUGACAAUGCUGCCACCAGUCUUUCCAUUUCGAUGCCCGGUAGAGGGGUCGGGGGCGGUAACCCCUCGUCUGACUUCUCGUUGAAGCUAUCAACGGGGAAUGACUAUGACUCAGGGCCUCAUCAUGUCAGUAAUGUUGAACGGUCUACGUGGGGAACGAGUCAUCAAGUGGCCUCAAUGGGUGGGCCACUUGCCGAGGCCUUAAGGUCAUCGACUACUAACUCGUCCCCCACUAGCGUGUUGCAUCAGUUGGCACGAGGUACCACGUCGGACGCCAGCUAUAUUAGCACUUGAUUAUUUUUCAUGACAGAUGUUUUUGCACUUUGUUGCUUUUAUUUUCUUGUUGGUGUUGUUGUUCAUUGUUCUUUUUGUUGCAUUCACUAACUAUCAGCUGUACAAAUUUGCAUGGGAUGUGUGGUGUGUUUAUUAUUGGUUUUGAGUUAAUACCAAAGGUGUGCAUUUGGUGAACUUCGCUAUUAUUUUUGCCGAUCGAUCAAAUAUUUAACUUAACUCUUAACAAUUAAGUUCACUUUAACUUGGCCUCAUGUCCUAGUAUUUUUACAAACGGGUUCACUUUUUAUAAUUUUACCACUGUACGUGUUACAUUUUUAAAAUUAUGGGUUCAAACGGUAAUAUAUAUGGAUUUUUUGAUAAAUUUUCUUAAUUAUUUAAGCUCUGUAUUAAAAGUACUGGAUUCAUCGCUAUUGCAGACGGCGAACAAAAUGUUUGACACUUUGGUAUUUAUACCGUGUCAAUUAAUUUGAGUCGAAGAGACAAAUUAAAGUGAUAAUAUUAUGUAAUUAAUCGUUGUUAAAUGGUGCAUACAAUUUUCAGUCAGGAUGAUUGAGAAAGAUUCAAUCCAUUUAAGCUGCUCACAUUAGAAAAGUAGUAGUGUAAAGGUCGUAAGUCAGGGGUUGGCUAUAACGUAAGGCUAUUACUUUCACAUAUUUUUCUGUAUGAGAGAGUAAUCCGUUGUGUGAGCAAUCCGACUAUACCUUAUAUGUGUUUUAUAGGCCGCACAUAAUUUUUCUUCCCAACGAGCCUUCCUUUUUUUAAUUUGGAUGAUACAAUCCAAAUAUGCUUAGCGAUAUUAUUUUCAGUUUGUUGGUGUAAAUAUCAAAUACGAAUAAAUACUUUUUUUGUAUAUAAUUUAGCACCAACUUGAAACGAGACUUUCAUUUCUAUAAUUGUUUUUUUGGUACAUAAUGUACACUACUUACAAUUUACAAAGAGUUGCACAUAAUGUAUCUUCAUGGAUUAACAAAUUCUGAAGGCUUGUGACAAGCUAAUUGUGAAAAAUUCUUUUUGUAUCAAAUCACUUAGAUAUAAAAUAAUGAUAUAUGGAAAAGAAAUACCCCAAUAUAUUUUUUCCUUCUCUUUUUUGUAUAUACAAAAGAUAUAGUUGAGACCCAUUGAGAAGAUGAGCGUACAUUAGAUGAUAUCAUCACGAUUCGUCUUUUUGUACCAAUAGAGACGCUUAACGACAUCAUGCCUAUAAAUAUUAUAUAUUAAUCCAAUCAUUUUCCAGAUUUUAAUUACAUUGAAUUUAUUUGAAAUAUUUUCUCCGAAUCUGGAGACAUUUUUCUUUACAAACAUUACAACUUUACUCCAUAUAACUUGAUUCAGACAACAUUUGGACAUAUUUUGCUGACAUUUUAUGCAUAAAUAUAAAAUCAAAAUAUUAUUAUUAUCCUUAUACUGUACGUAAGUCGGCCCGCAGAAACAACCACUAAUGGCUGUAUUAUACUUUUUCUGGUUCGAUGCUUGCUGCUAAGUGCUAACACAUGAUUAAUAUCAGAUUUGGUGAGACGUCUAAAUUUCUUGAGUGAUUGCGUACGUCAAACAUCUUAUUUUCUCGUCGAUUAUUUUUUGAUGAGUAAUAGUUAAUCCUUUGAUGUUUGUUUUGUUGUAGCGAACAAAUGACGUAUUUUGACACCCAAAAUUUUAAAAUUUUAUUUGAGAGCUAAAACAUUUAUCUAUCUUCUUCGUUUCCUGGGUGUUUUUCUAAGUCUUAUAUCAAUUUUUAUAUAAUUAUAUCGAAUUUAACGGAUGUCGAAACACCCCAAAAUUGGCCUUAGUUCCUCCCCUUCAUCCGAUUCUAAUGUCUUUAGACUCCCUAAAAUUCAUCUGAGUUCUGAACUAUUUUAGCACCAAUAGUGCUUCCCUGCAUUUGUUAAUUCAAAUUAAUGAACUAAAAUUAUACUAGUUGAAUACUAACUGGAUAGUUUUGUACUCCCUCUCUCCCAUUUUACCCGUCCCAAAUUUCCUAAUUUGGUGUUCCAUUUUGCUUGUCCUUUUUACUUAUCAAAACAAGACAAUUUUUUUUUCCAUAUUUUACCUUUUGCAUUAAUUACUUUUUCUUUAAAUUAAAAUAUAAACAUCAUUUAACAGGGGUAUUAUGGUAAACUAGCCAUAUUAUUUAUUAUUUUUUUUAAUAGCUGUGCCAUCCCAAUUUGAAACGAGUAGAAUGGGACGAGGGAGUAGUUAAAAAUAGCACAAUUUUCGAUGAUGAGUGUUCAGAAAUAAUUAAAAUCUAGUACUAGUAAUUUGUUUUUUGCCUUUCUCUUAAAUGAAUCUUUUAACUUUUCCUGUUUAUUUUUAAUGAAAUUGUUGUGUAUUCAUGACAGUUUGCUUCUUCUAAUUCUUUUCUUAUAGUCUUAUAAUUUUAUUAGAUGAUAAUGGCCUUGCUAUUACGAACCAAUAUGAUGCAAUUUAUUAAUAUGUUUUAUCAAAACAAAUUAAAUGUUAAUUAGGAGAAUUUUAAUUCUUUUUUUUUAAUAAAUUGUAUUUAGAAUAUAACAUACUCGUUCUAAAAUUAUAUAAGUGUUAGUUUAUAGGAAUUGUAUAUUUAAUCAAACAUUGAAUGGUUUGGUUUGCAUGUAAAAUAAUAAUUACUAUACAUUAAUUAUUUAAUAGUGAAUUAUGUUUAUUUCUCAUAAAUGUAGUGGUUAUUAUAGGAAAGCUCGAACAAAAUGAAAUAUAUGUAGUAGUAAUUAUCGAGAAUUCGAUUUCAAAUUGAACAAUUUAUUAGCCUAUGAAUUUGCUAUUAUACAACUCAUUAGUUGUUUUCUUGCAUUUCUUUUUACUUAAUUUAUAUUGAUUUGAUAUAUAUCCAAGAAAAUAUUUGUUAGCCUUUUAUUUUAUUAAAUAUUUAUUUUGACAUGAAAUAUUCAGAACAAAUAUUAACUUAUUUGAUAAAGUUAAUAAAAUAUUUUAAUUUAUUUGAUAAAAUAAGCAACAAAUUAUUACACUUGGCAAACAAUCUGUUUAAUUUUAUAAAGCAACUUAUUUGAUAAAAUAUUUGUUAAUAUUAUUAUGUCACUUGACAAAGAAUCUGAUAAAAAGCCAAAAUUGGCCCACAUAUUCAGAAAAAUACUACACUCUUCAUGGGAUAUAGAAAGAAAGACACAGGUGUACGUGUCAAAUAAUGUUACCGAUUUAAUGUUACGACAAAUAUAUGUAAUUUCAAAGAAAAGUAUGGACUUUUUAUGAAGUCGUAGAUAAGGUUUAAGUAAUACACCCUCCGUUUCAUUUUAGUUGAUCUUCUUUUUAAAAAUAUUUAUUUCAAUUUAGUUGUACCUUUUGAUAAAAUCAAGAGUAUUUUGUUAUGUUCUUUCAAUACUACCCUCAACAUUAAACGACUAAACAAAGUAUAUUUAUUCAAAUUUAUAUUUUCAAAACAUAAUUAAUAAGGCUAAUUUGGUAAAAUAGACCCCUAAUAAAUAUUUUAAGAGAGUGUCAAGUAAAAAAAAGGUCAACUAUUUUGAAACGGAGGGAAUACAACAAAAAGAAUUAAUCUUUUUAAAUAAGUUAAUCUUGUAGAAGACCUCACGCUUUUUACUUAAUUACUAUAAGCUAAGGAUCAAUAAUAUAUUAAAGAGAAGUGUAUUGUGGUAUCCCAUUUUCUAUGCAACUGGGGAAAAAAAUCAUGAUUUGAUUGCAAAUAUUCUAGCAGCAACACCUACUGAGUUGUGUUAAUGUUGAGAAAGGCAAAGAGUGCAGUAAGCUGUAAAGUUUGAUCAUAGUUGAUUUUUAUGUGCAUAAGUUGUUUAGUAUAUAAUUUUGAAUUAAUGACAUCUCAAUAAAAUUAUUGACUUAAAAAAUAAAUUAUUUUUACGUACAAAAAAUACACAUAAAAAUAAAAAUUAAGAGUUUUUUUUUUAAAUAUAUGUACACUUGUUUUAGUAUAACAAUAUUUAUAAAUGAUACAAAAAUUUUAAUUAAUUUCACAUAAGAAUGUUAUAAUUUAUAAAAGUAAGCAUUAAUUCUAUUUAAUAAGAUACUUAUCAUGUGUUUACAAUGCAUGAUCUUGAAUGUUGCUGUAAGAACUUUAUUUAUAAAUAUGAAAAUUUUAGUUUUUUAAUUUAAAGUUUUAAAAAAUUUCUGAUUAAAGUUUAAUAGUUUUUUACUUCCUUCUUUUGUUAUUUAAAUUUUGUACUUUUUCUAUA
rnacentral:lncRNA from 1 species